rnacentral:lncRNA from 1 species
UUUUUUUUUGUUUCUUGUUGCUGCAUUAUAUAUUUGUGAGAGCUUAGAUGUGACAUCCUUAAAAAACAUCUAGACAAACUGUAGGAAUAUCUGCUUAAAAAACAUCUAGACAAACUGUAGGAAUAUCUGCUCGUCAAGACUGGCAAUGGCCCAUGUCCGCAUACCAAUGAGAAAACAACCAACUGCAUGAAUCUCAGUACAGCCCAGCGGCUCAAAUAUCUAGAAUGUUUUCACAUGAAUGUUUACAGCGCACCACGUAACAGAUUCAAGUUUGAGAAAAAAAUGACUACUCUAGCUUCUUUUUCCUCUCAGCCUGCAAGGGUAGCGUGCCUUUCAUACGUUUUAGCGAGGAAAUAGAUAUCACAGAUACACAGAACAUGACAACAUGUCGUCGUGGGUUGAUAAAAACUUGCACAAUUUUGAAGAGUUCAACUCACCAGGAACCACAACAUCACAAACAUGAAAAGAAAUAACUUUGAUUAUAUUUUGACAAUUUGACUGGAAUUAUGAAAUGGAAAUCAAUCAAUUCCAUUUGAUUCAAGUCACAACUGAGAAAUGAAAACUGAAGGGAGCACCGGAUUUUGGAACACAGGAAAAUAUUACCAUUACAAAAUCCUCGCAGGAAGAAACACAAGUCUUUCUUUGAGAUGGAGUAUAAUUUAUUUAAGAUAAUUCCAUCCAUCCUCAUUCAUGAGUUUGCGGACUUCAACUCACAUUCUAAAGAUGCGGAUGAAAAGGACAUAAAAAUGUAAGAUGUCAUCAUCAACCAGUCAAUGCAGCAUUGAGCGCACUGUGAACAUCCACUCCGAUCUGAGCUUCCGCCUUCUCUAGGUCAGUCGAGGCUGAUCCAAGCUUGGCAGUGAAUUCAGCAAGACCUUUCUGGACCAAGCUUUGGUCAAUCUGAUCAAGGGGGACAGCCUCAACAGCCACAACAUCAGUAAUGGAGUUUGCAUGGAUGAAUGCAAAGCCACUGCUCACAAAGUACUUUGUAACAUCAUUUCCCUCGUGUACAGACAUAACACCAGGCUUGAGCUCUGCAAUUGUGGAAACAUGGCCUGGCAAAAUACCCAUCAGGCCAGUUGUAGCCGGUACCAUUACCAUGUCAACCUGACAAUAGCCAAACAAUAUGAGAUGAGUAGUGACAAAAACAUAAGACCAUACAAAUGAUCAAGAGUAGCACUUUAAGCGAGCAUAAGCAUUUAGGAAUCAAUGUACAAAAUUUGAAAAUCAUUCUCCGACCUUCUCCCACCAAAAAUACAGCAUCACAAAAUGAACUUACCUCAAACACCAAAAUUACUUAUCAGACAAAUAGCAACAAUAAAAUUGAUAGCUAAUAACAAAAUUGGAAACCUAAAAAAAGGUAAAUUCAAGGACUCGAAAAAAAAUUCAGAUAACCAAAGACACUAGGUAACUUAAAGUAAACAUUAUUAACUGUAGAUUAAGUUUAAGAAACGCUUGGCACAUCAGACCAUCAAUUCACCUUCUGGCCGUCUAAUAAUUUAAUUAUUCAUAUCAUGAUUUGACACAGAUUUGAGCAUGUUCUACUCCCAGUUCAAGAAACCCACUCAUCGCAAUAAAAGAUGCUACUCCCUCUGAUCCCAAAACAUUCGGAAGUUAUACUAUGAGUAGUAACUGGCUCAGUUGUUUUCCCACAACAUUUAUACAAGAUCGGAGGGAGUAGUAUUUAAGCAACUCAUGACAUGUCUUUGAUACACUAAGAAUAAUACAGAAACAUUCAUAGCUAAAUUGGAAACUGUACUGGGGCAUUGCUACCACAAAAGGUCAAGAAAAUAUAUCAUGGGAGAAUGUUAUGAUUGUUCCAGACACAAAGACUGUUUGUGCAAAACAGUGCAGUAAGUGAAUGAAGGUUAUCUCAAUCAAGAAAAUUGACAACAGGUAUAAUUAGUUAAUGUCAGCGAGGGCAAAUGUCGUUAAACAUUAAUAUUGUUCCAACUACUGUAGCAACGGUGCACCAUAUCAUGUGAUCAGAAGUUCACAACUCAUAUAAAUGUAGCCCUAUUGUCCUAAAUCCACUAACAAGGCUCCGAACUACAGCUAAAAAAUAAGAAUAAUGAACCAUAUCACAACAAAGGAACAAACCAGAAAGCAAACAGAGCACUAAGGGGCUGUUUGGAUAUUGCCUAUGCUAACCCUGCCAAUGCAUGGGCAAGCCAAAAUACUGGCGCUGCUUUCUGCCGCCCACGCCCUGGCCAGUAGUUGGCAAAAAAAUGAACUAGAAAGCUGGAGGUAGUCAGGGCACGCCAAAGAAUUGGCUUCGAUACAAACGGUUCCCAUGUACCCGGUCAACGCCAAUAUUUUGGCUUGGCAGCCUGGGGCGUCAAUCGGAACAGCCUCUAAAUGCAAAAUAUGAAAGAAAAAUCGUUUUAUCGGACUAAUACUUAAUCUAGGCACUGGGCUAGAAGCUUGGGAGAAGAAAAACAUACAAGGAUACCCACAAGGAGGCAUGUCACAAUCCUCACGGUACAAAUUGAAAAAAAAAAUCAUAGAAGUCUACUAGGACGCCACUAAGAAUUUAAUGGCCUGAAGAUGCUAGCAGAAAUCUAAAGUGCUUACAAUUAAAGCAUCCACAGCCCCAAGUGAAAACUGCAGUUCCUUGUGGACGGCAAUAACCAUUAGGAGGACACAUGUUCUACUCAGUACAGUCAAUCAACAUAUAAGCCAUCUGGUGCAUGGCACUCCAAAAAGGUGAGGUUUGGAAUGAUCAGGCUUACCCACAGAGACAUCAGAUUAACUGAUAUAAUCCAACAAUCUCACGCAGACUACAAAACUGAAGCGCACCCAUGCACAGGAUCAAAGCGCAACAAGCGACCCAGCACAACCAUUCCACCAGAACAAUGACAUGAUCAAAAGCAUCCCAUGACAAGACCAUACAAGGGACAUUCGGGGUUCCUAACCAAAUCGCCCCUAGGAUUCCACCCAUCCCGCGGGAUGAACCAGAUCACAAAGGCCCCUCUCACACGUCCCUAAUCUCCGACCGAAAAAAGAAAAACGGCCGAAAGAUCGUGCGAACGGUCGGAACCCUAGACGCACACGCACAGAUCUGAGAUCGGGAGGUGGGACGACGGGGGAGGUUACGACGAUAUACCUCCUUGUUGGUGAUCUCGGACUUGUAGGGGAGGACGAAGUUGACGGUGAGCUUGGAGGGAAUGGAGGCCGGCGUGGGCGGGCGGGGCUUCAUGGCCGACAUGGGCGUCUGGGGGGGCUCGAUGAUUGUGGUCACCUUCUUCCACGCCUCCAGGAAGGCGGGGUCCUCGCCCGCCUCCGCGGGCGCCUGCGCCGUCGCGAGGGCCCUGCGGCUCAUGGAGCCGCUGCCGGCAGCGGCGGCGCGGGACGCGAGGCGGCGGGCGGCGUGGCGCAGCAUUUUUUUUUUCUCCUCCCUCGUCGGACAGGUACGGGAUGGAUGUGUGCGACCUGCAGAUGAGUGGGUGCUGAAUGAAUUGGGGUUUCGGCGAUUUGGAGAAGGCGACGCUAAGAGGAGUGGCGACACUGAAGGCGUUGUUGCGUUUGGGUUGGGCUGUUUGGGCUGGACCCGGCCGGGCCGGGCGCCUGGUAAUUGCGUACAUAUAUUUUGGUGGCCUUCUGUUUCACGCAAAUCUCAAUGAUUGUCAGAUCUCAAAAAAAAAAAUCUCAAUGAUUGUCUCAAAAAAAAACGCAAAUCUCAAUGAAAUGCAAAUCCAAUCUUUCCAAAGUCCUCAACAUCCUUAUUUCCAGAUCGCAUCAUGCUUCUUCCUCUUCAUCCGCCAUGGUUCGAGACCCCGGGCCACCCAAGAGAAGCAAAGGAGGGAGACACACGAUGGGUGGAGGAAGAUCACAGGAGAAAAUCAGCCAGCGAGACUCUCGACGGGUAACAACUGCCGGAGGAGAUAAAAAAAAACUAGGUUUUCCGGCAGGGGAAUUGGAGCUAUCGUGAUAGCUCACAUAAGCAGCUCUACGCUUUUUUUUAGACAAGCUCUACGCUUAUAUUUGAAGGGGCUUCUAGAGGGUCCCACAAUUCAUAUGACAUCAAAUUUUGACGUGUCAUAAAAUGAAUGAAUAGUUUUUAAAUUAAAUAAACAAAGAGUUGCCUAGCUGAUUUAAUUUUCUAAUCCAUUUCUUCCAAGUUGGCGUAUCAUAGCGAUCAGAUUUGCGGAAGAAAUAUCUAAACGAUAACUGGCAUGAUAUUGUCGACCAUAACUUUGAUUUCUCGAUAGCGGGUGGUUUUGGAAACAGAGGUCCAGAUUUACUAGCCAGUAGAGCUGGAAUUAAGUUACAACAUCGUCUCAUGUCUUCUUUUAUACCAACAUUUCAAUGUUGAAUAGACCAGACAGGGCACACAAUAUGGGUGGGCAGCAUGAUCCGGCGAUUGCACUCUUACAGUAGUCUUCCGGGGCCUCUUAUCUUUUCCUUCACCUCCGCAUAAUGGCUUGUGGAGCUUGAAGCCAAAUACGUGAGGAACAUAGCGCUGCGAGGGCUUCUGGGGCUUGAGAUGAUCGUAUGUCAUCAGAAACAGGUGAGGAAACAGCAAAAUAUCUGGACAUGGUCAACAAAACAGCAAAAUAUAACAACAAAAUAGCAAUUUUCUUCAAUUAUGAUAUCCCCGUGAUGCAGAUAUGUAAAUAUUUCUUUGUAGAUGACACUCUUUUUUCCCCACGAGAAAAACACACCAAUUUGAGACAGUAUAAUAAGAGAGUGAUUAGGAUACUGCCUUGGUAUUUAGACCGUGGAUAGUAGAUGUCUUCGCACUUGGGACAGUAUAUCUUCACUGUACUAGAUCAGUGAAUAUCCGAUUGUCCAACUGGUAGACAUGGUUGGCCACAGCAAUAAACCCGUGGACAUCGUCCAAAGUCAUAGUUCUUGUAUUUCUCCAGCUGCCAAAAGUAAGGAAUAAAAGUUACCACUUACUACAAAUUAAACUUCACCGACAUGAGCGAAUUUCAGCCUUUCGGAAACAAAUAUGGGCAAGUACUAGCAAAGCAAGGUUAGCAUAACAGUUACCAUAGCAGCCAACCCUUUACCGGUAAGAAUGUAUCGCGCAUGAAAUAGCCCAUACAACAUCUCAGCAGCUGAUUCCACUAGCUCAUUUUGUUCUUCUGUGAAAAUAUCACCUACAUAUUCAAAUAAUCAAGAACAUCAGCAAUAGCAGUAGGCAAUGUAAAAGGAAACAUGCACAAUACCAUGCCAUGGACAAGUGAGAGCCAUAUAUUGCACGAAAUCAACCAACCAAAGCCCAUGCAAAGGAUUGAUGUUAUUUAGUGUGGCAGAUAAAACCUUCCAUUUAUGCUUACAGUAAUUGAUAUGGCACCUUUUACUUCAGCGUUUAACUAGUAAAGAAACAAAUUCAAGGGCAUUGGGAAACUAAAAAAAAAUCUGUAACACCAAAAAUGUAUUACCUCCGUCCCAAAUUACUUGUCUUAGAUUUGUCUAGAUACGGAUGUAUCUAACACAUAUCUAGACAAAUCUAAGACAACUAAUUCGGGACGAAGGGAGUACUUAGAAACAGAGCCCAAGCAACCAGUAAGUGUUAGCAUCACUACUAGUAAAGGCUUUGAGCAUCCAAACUAGUGACGUUAAAUGAGUCAAAUAACUGUAUAGGGACAACACAUUUGCAUCAUAUCAAAUGCAGAAAUGCAUCUAACAUUUCUUGUUAACAUACACCCGUCGGGUGGUUCCAUUUAAAUGAGUAAAUAUUGAGAACAAUUACCAUGAGAAGACUCGAUAUCUAAAAUGAGAUCAAGAACAUAAUCAUAAUAUGGAACUUGACUGCUAAGCCCACAACAUUGAAGUCAUCUUGAAUGUAAUCAUCAUCGAUUUCACAGAAGAACGCAUUCCCUCUUAGGUUGCAAUACCAUGAAAUCCAAGAGGUGUCUUCUCCAUCAGAGCCACUAACAUCUGAUGCUUCACUGUCAGAUUUAGACUCCCCUGCAACGUGAAGAGCAUGGAAGCAUCAAUGCACUUGUUCACAAACUGAUUCUCUCUCAAACACGCACCUAAAUGCAGGUCAAUAUUUAUUAAAAGAAAAUGACAAAGAAGGCGCAGCAGUAGAUCCCACCAAAGGCGGCCUCCGACCGACAGAAACAAAAACCAGGCUAAGGGGGGAAAAACCUGUACAAACUAGGCUACUAGAAAAACAACAAAAUAGAAAAGCAGCAGCAUAUCUCCUAAGCUAACAUAGAUGACGCAAAUACAACACGCAUGCAGAAAAUAUAUACAUUGGAGCAACUACAAAAACAUAGCUAGCAACAACUUUAGCUAACUAACAAUAUAAAGUGCUACUGAAAGCAGAAUUGGAAUAACUCAACAGACCUGGAAUACACCAUAGCAAUUAGGAGACAGGUAGAUAUGAUCUGCAUCAUACCUCUAAGUACAAUUCCAAAGACAGAUAUAAGUAUUAAGCCAACAAUUUUGCAUUAUGCUCUCAACUUCUAGGCUAUAGCAUUACUAGGACAUGGUACGUGCAAAGCACGUAGAGAAAACUACUCUUAUGAAUUUUGUAAGAGAAAAGUGCAACGGGUUGGUUUAAGUUCCAUGAUUAUUAGGAGCAUCUUACUAAGUAAUAUAGCACAAUUGAAAAAACUAUGUUUUGGUAACUAUACCGCAUUAUCUUUAUCCAGACCACAUUAUCUCAUCUUUCUAGAACUCUCUCGUGAAUCUUGACCUUUCUAUUCUUCCUAUCUUAUCUGGUGUCCACAUGAGUUGUCUAGAAAAAGAGCUUAAAACAUACUGAUGUAACUUGUUCACAGUAGCUACCUGUUGCCCCGUUUGUCAUUGCCUCAUCAGGUUGGAUGGCAGGACAGUUGGAUGAGGUAUACUGUAGCUGUGAAUCCAGGCGACUUGAACCGUUGGAUGGACUUUAAUCUACGACUAGCAGGCAGCAGCUCACAGAUUUGCCACUUACCAACCAUCCGAUGUAGCAUAUCUGACGGCUAAUACCAAAACCUACUCGUGCACUAUAAAGGAGUAUAGAUAUGUCUAAGGAAACAAUAUACUAACCCAAGAAUUUGUGAGUGGAAUCAUACUUAAAGAGAGAACAAGAGCUUCUUCAAAGCAGAGCAGUAUAAAAAAAAGGGCAGCCCGGUGCACGUAGCUCCCGCUUGCGCAGGGUCCGGGCAAGGGUCCGACCGCUUUGAUUCUAUAGUACGCAGCCUUUCCCUACAUUUCUGCAAGAGGCUGUUUCCAGAAACAAAAUUAAUUUUCCCAGAUGUUUUUACACCUUAAGCCACUGAUAUACUGAUAAGUAUUUAUAGUCGAGCCAUGAGGGUGCAUUCCGUCUAAGAUGGCUAUUGGAGCAAUUUAAGUAUAAUGAUUCAAAACUUAUGUAUUUCUGCAUCCAAUUUGUAUGAUUCAUGCGGAAAACAAGCAAAUGAGAAAAGCAUCUAACAUAGAAACUAAUGAAGCCUGGCGAUAAGGUUUCCGUAAUCCAAUGGCCUAUGGGGCAUUUAGUUCGGGACUUGGUGGUGGCACACAUUGCUCUACACAAGCAACUCGAGAGUCGAAAAGACUUCUGAUGUAACUAGUAAGAUGCCCGUGCUACGCUACGGAAUCAAAAAGAAGGCAUGAGUGCAAUGCUAGGGGACAACGAAAUAAUGUAGGAGACAUUGAUCAAAAUGAUGUUAUACAUUUGAAUAUUUGAUCGGUACACAUUGGGAACAAUCAAACAUACGGGCUUCCAUUUUCACCUUGGAAGAGGACUUGUUCUUCCUACUCGGCUUUCCCUCUGUCCGCUAAGUCCUAUAUCGAGGUGUCCGCUAGGGACAGAGAGCAUUUCGCAAUAGCUAACAAGUCCACAUAUCUGGCAAUAGUGAAUUUGUGAUGACACCUAACUCCAAAUCUGUCUAUGUCUUUGUUCCACCUCACUUGACAUGUGCUCGACCUCAAGCACACAUCAUUUUCCGCUAGAAAUGGUGACACAUUAAGCAUAUCACUUUGGACUAACCUUAAUAUCGAUAAUGAAAGAACGACAACACCACAAUCUCAUUAUCUAUCCCCAAGAGUAUGUGCAAUGGAGGUAUGGCAACAAGUUACUUCAUCCUCCGGCUUCAAUCCAAUGGGGCCAACAUGUUCACAUCUCCUCUUCCAUCACCUACUCAUGCCGUGCAACAUCAUAUCUCCAUGCCCAUGAGCAUUAAUACGGUCCAAAAUGCCACCCAUGGGUGAGAAUUAAGAUGAAAAAAGAACAUGCAUAAAAUAUAGGAUAUAUAACUUGCAUACAUAAGAUACUAUAUACAAGUUCAGAAAGUUUUUUCAUGUACAUGAAUUUGGCACUUCAAUGAACAUUAAUGCCUCAACCUCGCCGCAAGAUUCCAUAGAAAUAUAGGUUCAGUUUGAUGAUGCCUCAACCUCACCGCAAGAUUCCAUAGAAAUAUAGGUUCAGUUUGAUGACCCAAAGUGGCCGUUGUCGGUUUCAUUGAUAGAAGGAACAAAUACUUUACAAACACAUGAAAAGUAGAAGGCAAUACACACAUCAGCCGUUAGCCCAUUAAACUAUGGCAAAAUGAUGUGUCGUGCUUCAGCCUCCUUUCAACAUUGGAUUACUCAAUGGCAAAUGCACGCAAGCACCGCAGCAAAUAACUCUGAAUUGUGAAAUAUGCAGCGGUGGCUGUUGCGCUCACGCCAAAUCACCCAAAUCAUCAGCAUGGGCACAACAAGAAAUCUCCAAAAACAUAUUAUUAUGUUGCCUUUAAUCCAAGGAUUCAACAUUGCUCAUUUCUUGCUAUUUAGGCACACCAAUUUUGAAUGUUAAGAUAAAUAGCAUAAUAUAUUCAAAUAACAUACAUACUAUAGCGAGCUUUGAGCACACACUUAUAGAAGGUUCCUUACGAAACAAGAAUUAAGUAAAGGUGUUUGACUGAAUACUUUGCUGAAUAUGAACAAGAAGCAUGAAUCUGUACACAGCACCACCAUGAAGAGAAUAAAAUGUCAGGCAUAACUCACACAGCUAGUUCAACUUACAUAGUUACAUACCAUAGGCAUCUAUCAGGUCAUGGAAUCGUUUGUCAAGCAUAGUGUAUCCUUCUUUUUCUUGUUUGUUCAAAACAUCAGCGCGAAAAUAUUAGCUCUUGAGCCCUCACUUCAUCUAUCUUCUCACCUAAAAACACCUAAAAAGAUAUCGGACAAUCAGUAUUGCAUGUAUAAUGGUCUGUAGUAUAUUUAGGCAAAGGAAAAAUUAACAAGCCUAUAGAUGAUCUGUAGUAUUUUGGCGAAGAUUUUUUUUGACAAAAGUGUUAAACUACAAUAUUUGUUUAGCAAGUGGACAGAAGGACAAAUAUUCCUUAAACUAAAAGACAACUACUUAGGAUCCCAAUGCUCUAAACAUACUAAAUUAAAAAAAAAUCUAGUGGUUUUUGCCUCGCGACACUGAAAUAGUAUUCAACAUAAACAAAUUUGUACCAUUUUAUAGGGAAUAAAACUGCCGAGAGACUAUAUAAUGCACCAAAAUCUGAUUUGUCGCGUCGUCUCCGACUCCACUUUGAGCGGUCAUUCUCAUCUCCGGCCAUGGUGGGCCAGCCCACGAUGUGGUGCGUUUGGUUGACUAUCUGACGCAAUGAGCUUCGAGUAGAAUUUCCCUCGCCAUGUAUCUAAACUAAUUAAGAUAAAUGAAGAUAUACGUCUUUAAAUAAUGUUUACAACAAUUAUGCUGGUUCAUGUAGGUUUAAGAGUCUACUAUCAUGAAAGAAAAGAAUCACACAGUUUUCCCUGUGAUUCCAAUCAUAUAUAACUUGCACAACAUCAAAAUUUACUUGCAGAAGUUAAAAACUGAUAUAUGAACUCACAUGAUCAAGGAGAUGUUAGGCACAUGUUGAAGUCAUGAAAAAACUAUCUAAAGCAACAUUUCACUAAUUAUCACAUAUCUGACCACACAUCAGAAGGUUAUUACUAAUGCUACAUACAUUUCAUCAAUUAGCACUUCCAAAUAGAUCUCACACAACCACACAGGUAUGUAUUUUUUUGUAAAAGAGGUUAUUUCAGACUGCGUUCAGUACACAAUAAUAUAUAGCGGACUGGGAAGUAAAUUACUUGAUACAACAAAGAGAAAAAGCUUAUCUCUCUUCCUUUAGUGUGUGACUCAAGAACUUCUCUACUUGCAAAUAUAUUUAGCCAUGCUUGAUCAUGCUCCUCUAUACCUUGCACCAAAUCAUCCCAAGUACAAAAAUCUGACAAAUGUCGCAAUGAAAAAGGGUAUGAAUAUUGACCUGAGGGGAUGGUACAGGUUUCUGCAAAAAAUUAAAUAGGAAGUCUGAAUCCACUGGUGACAACAUACUUUGCAGAUCCACAAACAAUUUGUUGCUAAAAAUUUCACAAAUCACAUGUUUAGAGACCAUAAUUUCAAUCAUGAACGGAUCGGGCACACAACUGUACUCCAAAAACUUGACAAUUUUUUUGAUCUGGUAGGAGAAAAACAUGACUUACGGGGAGUUGAGCGUGGUUGGGGACAGUCACAGUGGAUCAAGGUAGUUGACAUCGGCGCGGCCGGAAACAAACAGGCCGCCCCUAGAAAGCUCUGCAUCUGCAAUGCCAGGAUGUCUCGUGGCGUUCCUGCCGCUGGUAGCCUCCAUUGGAGGCACGGAAGAAAGGGAAUCAUGUUGGAGGUUGAGAACCAGAGCCUGCAUAAAAUGGAAUGAGUGGACAGGCUCCGAACGGAGAACAAAGAAUAUAUACUGCACUAUCCUCUCAGUCUCCGAUAUCUUGCGUGCCCAGGUCUAGAAGGAGAGGUCGUGGGUAAAGCUCGAAGCAUAAUGUAAUACAGGUAUAGGGAACAGUAGCAGUUGGAAAAUUCAGCAGCAGACACACCUGCGGUGCAGCCCAAGCUCGCCCUGUUGCAGAUCGAGCACUCUCAACACUGCCUCCUCCUGCCGGCACACCCUUCUUCAACAAGCAGACACAGCAGCAGCAGAUGAACUUGUCCUGCGGUAGCCUCCGAUCCGGCAGCUUCUUCUCCAGCUACCUCGCGAGGCGAGGAGGGGCGGCUGGGCCCAUGUUGGCGAGGGGGCUGCGGGGCAGGCCAGCAGGCUCGCGCAGCCCACCAUGCGACCCUGGGUCACGCGCUGGAGCCGAGCCGAUGCAUCGAGCAAGGGGGCCGAUGCGGCGGCGGCUGCCGUGGGGACAUAGGACACAGGCGGCGGCAAGGGACUUGGCGGCGAGGCUUGGCUCAUGGUGGACCGGAUCCAGAGCGAGGGAAGUUCGGGAGGCAGCGGAGGAGAGCGGUGACGCGAGAUCCCGGCGGCGACGAGGAAUUUGGGAGGGGUCUAGAAGACUCUGUUUCUUUCUUGAGAGGAGGAGAAAGGAGAAGAGACAGCCCGUUGGAACUACCGGGCACCAGGUGGUGUUGUGUAUGGAUGUCCCUGCUCCAAAAUUCUGUCCGAGCACAGGGUGUUUUUUGAAAAAGUGCAAGUAGCACGAUUCUCAGGUUAAAAUAAAACGAGUAAAUUUUAUUUCUGUUCUUGUUGGGAGAGAUUAAAUUCAAUAGGUUACUUUGCUAACAUUAAAAAAAAGAUGAUUAGACACUGUGAUAAUCUAGAAUUGCACAAAGCGUGCAAAUUUUGAGCGUCUUACAUUAGUUUACAAAGGGAGUAUUUGCAAAUAUAAUAGAAACAUUGCAGAUAGUAGUUAAAAUAAAACGAGUAAACUCCGUGAGCUCAUAUACCAGCAUCUCAAAACACCCAAAGAGAUGACGAGGUAACAACAUCACUAAACGCAGCUACACAACCCACAAUCACCUUCAGAGAAUCUUAGCAAAACUAAAAGGAAAAUUCAAUAUGCGUAUACAACAGCAAACCAACCUUCUCAAUCUGCAGGUAACACUUUUUUAGUGGUAGAUGCAAAUAACACAUCCACAAAGCAUCUCAGAAGGAUGGUACGAUGGAGCUCGCGACUACGAGCCCCCAUCCCAACCCCCGACCCCGCCGCCACCACUUCCUCCCCUCGUCGUACCGGAGAACGUAUCCUGUGCACCAGACGUACUGGUGCACCAGGUGCUCCGCUGCUACAUCAGCCGUUGGAUUAAAAAGAGAGGGGCAGGAUGCGGUGCAAAUGGAGCUGCUGGUAAACUUUGCAAAACAGACCUCCAAGUAUAGCUAAAUCAAGCUAAUUGACCCCCCGUUCUGAGUUUGUCAAUCUCGCUUCCAUCUUGUGUACCAGUGCCUCGAGCUAGGAUUAAGAGAAAUAUGGGCAAGCUGCACAUCUCUCUCUCUCUCCAUGUCCUCCAUCUCCCUCCCUCUCUCCGACUUCCGAUGCUGAAGCACCACGAGCCUAGGAUCCAAAUCAUGUACCAGAUCAUGCUAAUUAGGAGCCAGCCACCAUCUUUUUACUGCUCUUAAAAAAAAUCUUUUUACUGCUAAACGAUAUCUGCGGUAUAAGCUCCAAAUUUGUUUCUUCUGUUAUGCACGUACAGUCUAUUUUUCCAAUCCCUUCAGUUUGCCCAAUUUGUUUGAAACCAAUGGCAUUUGGAUUGAAUAGUAUGAGCGCCAAAUCUUACCACUAAUUAUGACCGAUAGUGGAAAAAGUAGACGAGGGAGAUGUGUUCUUUCUGACUUUUUGUUCUGAUUUCUAUACAGUUUUCAUGUACACUUGAUAAUUUUAUAGUAAGGUUUGUACAUGAAGGGACCUGACAUGUGUGUGAUAAAAUGAUGACCUGGGAGUCUGCAUACAUGGCAAGAGUAGGUUAAUUACUAGUUGUUCAUGUGAUGUUCUUGGACAUGAACUACUAAUGUAUUAUGUUCUUGUUAUCCACUUUAAUUUGUUCAUGAUAAAUGGAAAGGGCCUUUAAAAUGUCCAGUCAAGCUCUCUGUCGCAUCACUAGUUAAAAAUGUUCCUCAAUUUGUAUCACAUUGUUCCUUUUCUCUGACGUAAAAAUCUUGAUGUGUGCAGCUAUGUUGUAGGUUACUCCAGUUCUCCAAAUCCUAUCAUAAUUACCCAUCAAGAGAUAUGGUCGAUGUAGUAUGUCUUAUUUUCAAGCAUAUUUUUAGCUGGAUGGCAGUCCAGCAGGAGUGACUUGAUUAAAAUCUUGACAGGACCCAUACCUGAAUUUUGAGAAAUACCUAUGGCUGACUUUGUGUAUGAUGGACUGAGAAAAAUCUUGACAGGACCCAUACCUGAAAUAUGUAAUGUUUAAGAUGUAUCAAAAUCUUCUUUAUUGCUUUUCAAGUAGCAGUAUUACUCUGCUGUAGAUUGCAUACGAAGGCAUGUCUCAUCUUCCUUUAUACAUUUGUUUGACCGGCUUCUUUUAAACUGUGCAUAACACCUCGGAAAAUAUAAAAGAUGUGUUUUUGUAUCAGCUUAUCUAACUGUUGCAUGAUUGCUCAUUGCUGACUUUGGCAAAAAAAAAAGCAAAAUCUUCAUGUAAUUUAUUUUUCAUACAAUUGGAAAAUCUGCUUCAAGAACACAUUAUAUAUUCUGCCUCUCUUGUACAGAUGUCUGCAGCAACAUUUCUAUUUUGUCAUGCAAACUGAGGCUUGAAUCCUAGUCCUAGAUGGAUAAAGGAGUAAACUUCAUCUUGUGAACUGAUACCCAACUGCUUUCCCUCUUCAUUCCACAAAGAUAGGAUUUGGCAAUCUGUUUCAACAAGCACCUUAGUCGUCGAUGAAACACUUGCAUAAUUUCUCAUGGCUCAAUCUAUUUUCUCACUAAUGACAUCUUGGGGGUCUACAACCUUACAAUAAGAGGAAAUGAAAUGAGUUCAUUCAUGUAAACUUGGGAAGAUAACUUCAAUAAUUAAUACAUCAGUGUGAACAAGGUACCUUGCCGACGUGCUUCUAACCAAAUAAUUGUUGGUUCAUUGUUGUAAACAAAGAGUAAUCCACAUGCAAGACAAUAUGAGAACUUUCAAAAAAAAUAUAUAUAUAUAUAUUCAUGAUUUUUUCAUAGAGCACUUGUACUAGUGUACUAAUAUUGUACCUUGAUUCGAAUUAAUGGAAGUUUGGGCUCUAAUCCACUGGUUGUUGGUUGACUACUCUUUUCAGUCAGAAUUCUUACCUGAAAUCAGUACUGCCUGAAAUUGAGGAUAACCCGUUUUUAUUUUCACAAAGGAAUUUUACCAGACUGAAGAAACUGGCAAACAAGACAUUAUCGAACCAUUCACACAGAGGCCACAUGCUUGCAGGAAACGGGACAACAUCUGGAAUUCUAGACAGAAAACCUGAAACUCGCAAUUUUUUGAAAUGAAAAUAGAGGCAAUAUCAUAAGAGUCGACAUCUGCUACAUCUGUACCGUCGACAGCGCCAAGCCCUAACGAGCACCGUCGUGUAGAGGAAUAGCUGAUGGGAAAGAGGUGGGGGGAAGGGUGAAGAGGGAUCGCACCGAAGGUGGUUGCCGCCAUCGAGAUUGGAAGAGAUCUCGCAGCACCAUGGAUCAUAGCUCGACGACUUGGUACAGAAAAAGCGAAUCCCAUGGAAAGAGGAACAGGAGAUGGGGAAGAGACGGUAUGUUUGUUGAGGACUACUUACAUCUUUCAAUGAUUCUGCAGGGUCCUAGAUAUAAAAUGUACCGACAACCCUGAUUGUGAUAAAUCUGUUCCAUCUAUUCUCUAUCCAAUGGACCAGAAUCUAUCGGUGCAUUCGUUGCACUAAUUCAACCGUUGCAUGAGAUACGUUCUUCGUCGUACCGUCCUUAAGACGCGCUGCUAGACCGCCCGCCUCUUCUUCUCUGGUCCGGGCAGAGCUGCUGCUUCCUCGCCGGAGACUGCAGUGUGUCUUCUCCUCCACAUCGCACCCCCAUGCGGACGUCAGGGACGAUUCUUAAGGGGGGACGAGGGGGGGCUAGACCCCCCCUAACGAUCUCGUCACCCCUUAAUAGCGAUUAGGUACCACAUAUAAUUUUCUUCCUAAGCACAGAAUUCUGGUUGUCUCGCCCCUCCUAUGAUCCAUCCGGCCAUCACACAACGUGAGGCCUAUAGCCCAUGUACAUGGCCAGCGGCCCCAAUACAGGAAAAAAUAAAAAUAAAAACAGCCCACGUGGAAGACAAGGAGUCUAGAAGCAAUACGCACGACCACCAGCGAGUUCACGAUGUACGCACGAUCGUUUCGUUCCCACAAUGUGCUCAUUCGUCGUUCCUCGAUUCCUGCGAUUGGAAAAACUUCCUAGCCGCCGCCCGCCCGCCCAGUAGAUCUAGACAGGGACGGAGCUAGGAUUUUAACAUGGAGGGGGCGAGAUUUUGCGCGUGGAAACUGAUUGGCAAAAAACUUAGGCAGAGACGGUUGUAGCCUAGGUUAAUGAUAGAUUUCAUCAAGGGGUGAAAAGAGAUGGUGGCUUUGAACAAUUAUUAAUUUUUUACUCCAUGAAACAAAUGCAGCUAAUGGUCUAAAUCUUUCUACUACUGAAGGGGAUAAACAAUCUAAAAUCUUGUCUCACGGAUCAUGCAUAUUCUAAUUGCAAUCUUUCUACUCCUAUAGGCACAAAUUAAUCUAAAUAAUUAAAGUAAGCCAUGGAUGAAGUAACGAAAGUGAGAAGUCCUUGCUUGCCUUAUUGCCGAUCAUGCUAGCUGUGCGGCCGAAUGGCCAGCCGUGCAUCCAAGCAACCAUUGGAUCGCCUUGCCCCCCUUCGGCAGUCUAAGUCUUGAGUUAGGAGUUACACAACGCUAGAUUGGGAACUGCCCUAGACGGCAGUUGCAUCGCAUCGGGGGCAAUUAAGAAAGGUAAACGAACGCUGAUUGCGUCUUCUGUCUUCCCAUCGUGGGCUACUGCUGCAGGGCCUUGCUAUAUAUGGGCUUUGUAGUUUUGGACUUCACGUGGUUAGGGGGGGCGAAGUUAUCCAAGCACUCGUUAUUUUCCUUUUUUUUACCCGCUACUUCAGAAUUACGUACGUAAAACAAAAUCGUUAGGGGGGGGUCUAGCCCCCCCUCGCCCCCCCUUGAAAUCGUCCCUGGAUCUAGAUCAUCCACCUCUCCAUCGAAUCUCUCCAUCCGCCGAGGAGGGAAGGCCUCUGUCCGACUCCCCGACGGCACGACUGCCCGUCGUGCCGAUCCGCAGAUCGUAGGCGCAAUCCGGUCGGCCGCACACACACGGAUGAGGGACCAGACGAUCAACAAAAGGUUAGUUUAUUUUUAGUAUUUGAUUAGUCUGUGUCUUAGAAUCUAAUUGUAGAAAUAUAUGGACAUUAAAAACUAAUUAGAUAUUCUUGUAUUGUCCAAUUAUGUGUGUGUAGACAUAUAGAGGAAGAGAACUCAGUCAAUUCAUAUUUUUCAAGUCAAUUGGUUCAAGCUCUCAGUAUUUGCCUUAUUUUGAUGUGUUCCUUAAAAACAAUGGAACUAGGAACUAGAACAUAGAAACAAUCAGAAAAAAUUGACUGUCAAAUUAUGGGUUUGUAAUCACGAAGAGAAAGAGUUUUGUUGAGAACAUUUUCUAGCCAAUUUAAACUAGUAGAAUUCUGAAGAAAUUAUCCAAUCAUGAUUUUCAUUCAAAUUAACAGAUAUGCAAAUUAUUCAUAUUGUAGAACCGCGGCAAUUUUUUGAGUAUUUAGACCCCAUGAUAUUUACUAUGCUAUAUGCCUAUAUGAUUGUCUCUUAUAUAAUUGUGAUCGACUCUUAUAGUUCAAGCCCCCCCCCCCCAUCGCUAUUUUCUGGCUCCGUCCCUNNNNNNNNNNNNNNNNNNNNNNNNNNNNNNNNNNNNNNNNNNNNNNNNNNNNNNNNNNNNNNNNNNNNNNNNNNNNNNNNNNNNNNNNNNNNNNNNNNNNNNNNNNNNNNNNNNNNNNNNNNNNNNNNNNNNNNNNNNNNNNNNNNNNNNNNNNNNNNNNNNNNNNNNNNNNNNNNNNNNNNNNNNNNNNNNNNNNNNNNNNNNNNNNNNNNNNNNNNNNNNNNNNNNNNNNNNNNNNNNNNNGCUUGACUUCCGCCUCCUCGCGUCCCCAUGCUCGUUCUGCUCGGACCGCGGAUGGCUUGGCUUUGGCUGCCUCGGCCUGGGGAUCCGCCUCUCAUCACGUCAGCUGGCUGCCUCACUCGGCCUGUCGCAGGAUGUAGGGGCCCCAAGCCGGCCCGUAUCACAUCCUCGCGAUGGAACCACGGCGCGUCUGUUGUCGCACGACGCUCCGCUUCUCCCUCUUGCGCCCCACGUCCUCUCUCCUGCCUGACGUCGGCGCCGCCCGGUGCGCCGGCCCUCCCUCCGAUCCAUGCCACACGAUAGUCCCUGCUUGCUCGCUUCCCCAUUACCGGGGAGGCACAUGCCGCCGGCGGCGUCGCUAGAUCUAUCGUCACCCAACGUGCCUGCCGAUGCCAAGCCACCCGGCGCCUGCUCACACGAUUGGAGGGCUGCGAAGGCCACCCUCGCAUUGGCCCUCGCCGUCCUGGUUUGAUCGGUGGUGGACGUCUGCUCCACUCGGCCAUCACCCAACCACUACUGAAUCACCCCACCUCCUACAUGCUUAGAGCAUCUCCACUAGUCCCCUAAGAAGCCUCCCCAAGUCACUUUUUCACCGCGGCGAGUAAAAACGGAACUGCUGCGCGGACGACAACAGUAUGCACGACAGAUGAACGAUGCGGGAUCAAACGGUCUGCUGGACUCUGCUACAUGCAUGGACGGACAGGGAUCUGUUGUCGUGCAUGAAUCGUGCGCACAGCAUCGUGUGUGUAGCACUGCUCGAGUAAAAAAGCUCCCACUCGCACCCCCAGCCCCUUAGUUUUCACCGGAUUCGACCAAAAACGACGCCGGCUUCCCCAAGGCAAAACUAGGAAGCUGGGGGGCUUAAUCUCGCCGUUUGCAGGCGCUGGCCCGCCUGCCAGCAUCUCUCUGCCGUUCUGGAUCCUCCCUUCACUUCUUUGUUUCUUUCUUGGUCGACUGCACGGAGCCAUGGCCGUCGAGCUCGCGCAGGAGGAGGCGGUGGCCGCGGCAGUCGAUGAGGAUGACGCCGUAGGCGGGCCACACGGGAAGCCGAGGCUGAGCGCGACGCCCAUGGUGGGGAUGAACGACGGCAGCGGGGCGCGCGGGACACGACGCAGCGCCAGCGGCGGCAAACCGCCGCGCACCGGCAGCCGCCUGAAGAAGUCAUCGAUGUACCCGCUCUUCAUCUUGGCAUUGAGCUGCACGACGAACGCGGGCUUGAGCGAGUCACAAUAGUCGAGGAACCUCGCUGUGAUGUCGUACCCCUCAUCCCACCGGUUGCCGCUCCCUGCGGCCUCCAGUGCCCAGGCGCGAGCCCGACCUUGAGCUACACGUAGGCGAGGCCGUCGAACUCCUCCACGACGAGGGUGACGGCGUCCACGGGCUUGCGGUCGGCCACGGCGCCCUGGUUGAAGGUGCUCCAGAUGAAGGUUGAGGCGUCGGAGAGGACCUGCUUUGAGUACGCGAGGCCGGCGGCCUGGUCGAAGCACUGGCCGCCGGUGGUGUCCGACGCCAUGUUCGACGCGUCGAACGUCACAGCCCGGGCCGACGUGGCCACGGUCACCAGGAGGAAGAUGGCUACCGUGGCUACCUGAAGCUUCAUCUUGUUUUGGCGUGUGCAUGCCGAGGCUUUGAGCGUGCGCGGCGCGGAUGGAGGACCCUGCGGCGGUGGUGACGCCCAUGACCAUCGACUUCCUCCGGGCACGCUUGCUCUUGGAGCGCUCUGUCUCUCGCGCAUCCAAGGAGCGCGCCGACCAGCUCGCUGCCAGGGUACGUAUGAUGUGCCCGCAUGCACCGGAGUAGCGCCUGGUGUACGUGGUGCUCGCCGCGGGCAUGAGGACGGAGCAUCGGCGGUCGAGCUCGGAGACCGCGGCGGUGCAUGGGUCCGCAAUGCACGCACGUCCCGGGGAUGUUGGUGCCUCCAGCAUUGGGAGCACGCCAAGGAAAUGGGAGGGGGCAGUGGUGCAUGCGAGAGCUCGGAGACCGCGGCGGUGCGCUGCUCCGCCUGCUCGUUGCUACCUGGGGGGCCAACGACUGGAAGAAAUUUCAGCCCCGGAGUAAAAUUCUCGCCGGCAGGCCCCCAAGCGGCGAAAAAAUGCCUCCUGGGGGGGCAACGGCUGGAGAUGCUCUUAGGUAGUUGAUCCUUGCGUUCUGUUGUAGAUGGUAAUUGGGUUAUUUUGAGUUUUUCUGUUUCUUGCCUUGGCAGGAUGUACUUGCCACUUGGGUUUGGUUUUCGAUCCGGUUUUUCACAUAAGCUGGAUCAAGGUUUUUGAACAGGUUUCCCGUAUAAACCAGCUCCAUUUCAUUGAAUAGAGAUCAACAUUCAGGUAGGGAUCCCCCCAAACCCACCCGACAUAUUAAAAAAACAUCUUGAAAGCUUAUCUUAACAUUCCAAAAUGUAUAGCAAAUCUCUAACACCUUCACAGGUACCAAAAAGCCAGAUGCCAGUGGUCCAUUCCAAAAGCACACCAACACACUUGCCACUAACAUUCAACGUAACAACAACAAAAAAAGAUCUACCACAUGCACUCAAAUCUGCGUAGCAAUAUCACGUCAGCUCGCAAAUGAAGAUGGAACCCCAAUCCAUGCCAAAUUUUAUCCUAGUAGAACGCAUGCUGCCCUUCAAAGCCCAGGAACGUAAGGGCAUGUACAAUGCAUAGCCCCAUGAUGAUGCCUCGCAUGUCAUGUAGGAUCGGAUAUCAGGUAAAGUAGGUUCGGAUAGGGAAGUGGGAUCCUCUGCAGGAGGCAGGUGCUUGGAGAGAAAAAAGUGUUGUCCGGUGUCAAAAGUUGAAAAGGCGAGUCUUUAUUUUCUAUUUCUUAAUGAGGCUCACUAGUUAUAGCUUGCAUUGGGAGAAGAAAUAAAUGUAGGUGCCUCAAACUACUUCUUGUAGCGGGACAUAUGUAUUGUACAUGCCCUAACUCCAGACCCCACGAACGCCUCACAACACCACGAAUUAUAGACCACGGAACGUCAUGUGUGCGGAGAGGGGGAGAUCGCGUCACCUUUGGAGCAGCGGCCCUUGGGGAUGGAGGACGGCACUACGACGCGGUUGUGGUUGCCUCGGGCACCCGCCGAGCCUCUCGACGUGGAGGGCGACCCGACCGCCUUCUCCAGGUGCUUAUCGAGCACGUCCCUGAUGCGCUUUUGGUCCAGCCCCGCCCCUCCGGCCGCCCCUUGCUUCUACAUCUGUUGCGGUGACGACGAUGAAGCCCCCCUCAACGUUGCUGCCGUGGCAGCGUCCUCUCAUGCGGGAAGCGCCAUCUGAGGUUAGGGUUGGGGUGGCAGGGGGAGGGGGCAGGCACAGGGAGGGAGGAGAAAAUUGGAUAUUUACCACUUCCAAUACGUGCCUUCUCAAAAUUGCCACUUCCAAGAUGGGUUUCGCAAAAUUGCCACUUUGCUCAUUGGCUCCUUGAUUACCACUUCCCUUUUUUUAGUGAUUUUCUUUUUUUCUUUUCCAUUUAUAAGCACGGGAAAAGACCAAACUACCCCUAAUUCUAUACACAUACGUACUAUCCAAUCUUGAAAGUGGCAAUUUUGAGAAGCCACGUAUUGAAAGUGGCAAAUAUCCAAUUUUCUUGGGGAGGAGAAAAUUGGAUAUUUGCCACUUUCAAUACGUGGCUUCUCAAGAUUGCCACUUCCAAGAUGGCCUUCGCAAAAUUGCCACUUUGCUCAUUGGCUCCAUGAUUACCAUACCACUUCUCUUCUUUUAGUGGUUUUCUUUUUUCCUUUUCCAUUUAUAAGCAUGGGAAAAGACCAAAUUACCCCUAAUUCUAUACAUGUACAUACUAUCCACGUUCUAAUUGAUAGUAUGAUACUAAUUAAUACGAGAGCGCACCGGCCGCCAAGAAUAAUGUGUGUGUUUGCAUCAUCGAUCUCCUCGGCGCAGGCUGCCGCAGAUGGCUUAGACGUCGCGUGUCGCCGAUCUUCUCAAUGUCCCGUGCCGCCGAUCUCGUCAACGUCGUGUGUCGCCGCGUCCAUGGGUUGUGGAUGGUAUCGUAUCGAGCCUUAUCCCACUUUGUUCAAAAAUCUGUAGCAGUUGAUCUCUAAAAGUGCAACUAAUCCCUGGGUGGUUUUGGUAAUUCUUAACAACAUAUAGUUCAUUGAACUAAUGCUAUUUCAAGAUGAUAAUUUCAGAAAGUUCAAUGAUUGGCAUGGCAUGGACUAGAGAUGUGGACCCCUCAAAAUGCAAAGGACAUAUAUUGGCAACAAGCUUAAGACUACAUUUUCGUUUUAGUGAUCCAAGAUCACAUUGAGUCCAUAGGAAAGCCAAUACUAUUAAAAGGGGAUGAGGUGUCGCUUAAUGGCUUACUUACUCAAAAUUCUUAGUGAUAUGCUCCAAAACCCUCAACCACUUUCUCAUUUCCACAUAGUCCUAAACCUAAAGUCAAAUUCGGCCCCACCGAUUUGAUCUAUCCAGCGCCACCGAGUUUCAUUUGACAUAGCCAUCGCCACAAACCCUAGUUACUUCGGUCUCACCGAGAUGGGAUUGCAAACUCUCUAUUUCCUUUUUGUAACAUUUUGGUCUCACCGAAAUGAGCAAAUCGGUCCCACCGAGUCUGCAUUGCAAACUCCCUAUUUCCUUUUCGUAACACUUUGGUCUCACCGAAGUGAGCAAAUCGGUCCCACCGAGUUUGCCUGACCAACCCUCUGUUACCUAUUGCCGAGAUCGGUCCAACCGAGUUUAUGCUAUCGGUUACACCGAGAUUACGUUAUGCCCUAACCCUAGCAUAUCGGUCUCACCGAGAUGACUAUAUCGGUCCCACCGAAAAUCUAACGUUCAUAUUUUGACCUAAAUCGGUCUAACUGAGUUUGUUGAUUUGGUCCCACCGAGUUUGGGAAUCUGUGUGUAACGGUUAGAGUUUGUGUGGAGGCUAUAUAUACCCCUCCACCCAGUCUUCAUUCAUGGGAGAGCUAUCAGAACAAACCUACACUUCCACUACUCAUUUUCUGAGAGAUAACCACCUACUCAUGUGUUGAGACCAAGAUACUCCAAUCCUACCAUAUGAAUCUUGAUCUCUAGCCUUCCCCAAGUUGCUUUCCACUCAAAUCAUCUUUCCUCCAUAGCCAAAUCUAUGAGAGAGUUUUGAGUGUUGGGAAGACUAUCAUUUGAAGCACAAGAGCAAGGAGUUCAUCAACAACACACCAUCUAGGGAUGGCAACAGGGCCCCAUACCCGCCAAACCCUUGGGGAUUUCAUCUAUUAGGGGGUGGGGAUGGGCGAAAAACAUCCCCAUUGGGAUAUUUACCAAACUAAUUUAUUCCCCAUAGGGUACAAUGGGGAUGGGGACGAUAUCAUAUUCCCCAGACCCAAUACCCAUCGGGGACCCGGUUAGUAACCGUGACACUGCGGUCAACGUUAAAAUAUUCACAAACAAACUUGCGAAAACAAAAAAAGCUCUGAAAAAAACCUUAAACAUAUCUCACAUCCUCACUUCAGCUGCCACCAUGACCAAGAAGUCAAUACGACCUAGAUAAGCAUUAGCAGGACAAGGACAACACCAUGUAUUUAUGUUGAUCAUAGGGUGUCAUAUUAUGUAUAUGAGUAAGAUAUUCUUGAUGAUGAAUUUGUCGGUCAUCUCUUCCCUUCCUAAGCCGACAAUUUCAUUUGUGAUGAGAACAAGCCUAGAGUACAUUUCGGUGACACCUUCACCAUCCUUCAUUUUGAACUUGUCAAGUUGACUUUGGAGCACAUCCAACUUGGAUUCCUUGACGGAGUCGCUACCUUCGUGCAUAUCAAUCAAAGUAUCCCAAAUUUCCUUUGCAUUCUCAAGACGGCUGAUUUUGUUGAAUUCCUCGGGGCACAAUCCGUUGAAGAGGAUAUCGCAAGCUUGAGCAUUGUAUUGCAACAUCUUCAAUUCUUCCGUGGUAGCUUCACGGUUUGGUUCUCUCCCAUCAAAGAUUCACCUUGCAAGCCAAUACACACAAUAGCCCAAACGACGAGGUUAUGUCCAAGAAUAUGCAUUUUCAUCUUAUGUUUCCAACUAGCAAAAUUAGUACCAUCAAAGUAAGGACCUCUACGGUGGUAAUUUCCCUCGCUAGACACCAUACUCUCCUAGGUUGUGAAACCAAGGCUAUGAUCACCAAAGCUAUGGAAAUCAAGGCAAAUGGAGACCAAAGCUCUGAUACCACUUGUAGGAUCGAAAGUAUGUCUAGAGGGGGGUGAUUAGACUACUUGACCAAACAAAAACUUAACCUUUUCCCAAUUUUAGUUCUUGGCAAAUUUUAGCAACUUAGCACAAGUCAAGCAAUCUCAAUACAAUUCAAGCAAGCAUGCAAAGAGUAUAUGAGCAGCGGAAAGUAAAGCAUGCAACUUGCAAGAAAGUUAAUGGGCGGAGUUUGGAGGGAGCAAACGCAAUGUUGACACGGAGAUUUUUGGUGUGGUUCCAAUAGGCGAUGCUAGUACAUCCAUGUUGAUGGAGACUUCAACCCACGGAGGGUAACAACUGCUCGAGUCCACGGAGGGUCCACGAAGAAGCAACCUUGUCUAUCCCAUCAUGGCCAUCGCCCACGAAGGACUUGCCUCACUAGGGUAGAUCUUCAUGAAGUAGGCGAUCUCCUUGCCCUUACAAACUCCUUGGUUCAACUCCACAAUCUUGACGGAGGCUCCCAAGUGACACCUAACCAAUCUAGGAGAUACCACUCUCCAAAAGGUAAUAGAUGGUGUUGUUUAUGGGGAUGGGGACCCUAAUGGGGCCCCGUUCCCCAGUGGGGCAUGGGUAUGGGGAAAUUUUUAUCCCCAGUCAUGUAAACAAGGAUGGGGACGGGAUGAUAGGGAAUUGAUGGGGAUGGGGAUGUUGUAGGUAUCCCCAUAGGGGAUUGUCCCCAUUGCCAUCCGUAAUCUUGAGAGCCUUGAAUGGAAAAUAUGAUACCGUGUGCACAUUGAUCCAAAUGAUGCCAAAUUACAAAGAUCUCAAGCCAACCGAAGUCAUUGGAAGAAUUGUUGCUCAUGAGAUGUCACUCAAGGACAAAGAAGAGCUUCACAAUGAAUCUAGUGGUGCUUACAAAGCCUCAUGUGAUGCUCCUACAUCAUCAAAUGAGAAACAAGCCUUCAAUGAAUAACUGAGCUUAAUGGUGAAGAACUUCAACAAAUUCUAUAAGAGUAGAAGCAAGGAAAGAAGUUCCAAGUCAAGGUCCUACAAUGACAAAAGAUCUUCUAGUCAUGAGCGAAACUGCUACAAUUGUGGAAGACCCGUACACUACUCCAAUGAGUGCUCCCUACAAAACAAGAGAAGACUCACCAAAAAGACAGAGCAAAAGGGAAGAAUCACCUCCAAGAGAGAGAAGGAGUAGGGAUGAUCGCUAUGAACGAAGAACCUCUCGAAGAAGCAAUGAUUCGAAAAGGAAGGACAAGUCAUCAAGGAGCUACACAAAACGAAGACAUCAAGCUCAUGUUGGUGAAUGGGUAUCCGGCUCUGACUCCGACCACCACUCUGAGAGAAGUUAUCACUCCAACUCCAAAUAUACUCAAGAUGAAGGUGUUGCCAGUCUAGCACUUGUGUCAACCAACUCCUAUGACAUAUUUGAUUCACCAAAUGAAGGAAUUGGGAGAUUCUUCAUGGCUAAAGGCCCCAAGGUAACACACCCCGAGUAUGUUGAUUUCAAUAGUGAUGAUGAUUUACUUGUUGACAACUCUGGUGAUGAAUACUAUGAUGAAACAUCAACUAAUCAUGCUAAUCAAGAUAAAAUGAAUGAGAAUGAUAAGAAGGAUAUUGAGCGUCUAACUAAAGAACUAAACACUCUUAAGUUAGCUCAUGAAACUACUUUAGAAGAUCAUCGGGAACUUCUAAAAACUCAUGAGAAGUUAUGCUUCAAAAAGCUCAAUCUUGAGCAAGAGCAUGAGUUCUUAAAGGCCAUCAAUGAUGAUAUUCGGAAGAAAAGUUCUUCUUACAUUGCCAAGUGUUUACUCUUGUCUACUUACAUGCCACAAGUAAAAUCUAGCAACAAGAACAAGAAAGAAUCUUCUUCUAGUAGUAAAAAUAAUCAUGCUAAAUCUAAUAUUGUUGCUUCUAGUAGUUCUCUUGAUUCCACUAAUGAUUCUCUUAGCCAAGUUACACUUGAGCAAGAAAAUAGCUUAUUGAAGGGAAUUAUAGAGAAAUGUGUUUACAAAAGCCUUGCCGUGAGUAAGCAAUUUGAGGAAAUUGUACGCAAGCAAGGAAGGCACCGGAAGAAUCAAGGUGUUGGUUUUGAAAGAAAGUUCAAUGCCAAUGGAGUUGAGUGGGAAGAAGAUCAAUACCCCAAGACAAAGUUUGUUCCUCAACAAGAGAAGUAUGACCCUACUUCCUUCAAGGGGACACAAGCUCAAGAUGAUCUUCCACCACAAGACCACAAGCUAAAAGGCAAUGACAAGCUUCAAGAAGAUAUUGAUGCAUUUGAAGAUGCUCCGAAGGCCUUGGUCAAGUGGGUUCCCAAGACUACAUCAAGUUCUACUUCAUCAAGUACAUCUACAACUCCAAGGAUUCCCAUCAAGAUGAUGUGGAUCCCGAAGAAGAAGAACUAGAGAGUUCUUGAGGGUGACUCCGCCAACAUACUUCACUCAUAUUUAUUUUGGUAAGGACAAGUGCAAACAACUUGCACAUCUUGUGCUAGUUCAAGGAGUCACAAACCCUCUUGUUGGUAAGACAAGGGACAAGGUAACCUAAUGCUUCCAUGGACAUCAUCAUGUGUGUGCUUCACUCUAUGUCUAUGGAUAUCCUUGUUUGUUCCUUGUGGGACUAACCCAUGUAGGUAUUGAAAGUGCAGCUCACUCCAAUGAAUUGCUUCAAAUGAUCUACAUUAACAAUGAGCAUCCACAUCUUCGAUAUCUACAUGAAGUCACCAUCGACAAAACCCAAGGUUAGUUGAUCCCUGUUAAGGGGGGAUAUCACAUCUAGCGGGAGCUUUACUCUAAGAAUUGAGCUAAAGCAACUCUAAUGGUGUGAACACAACAAUGCUUUAUGUAAAAGUGGUAACCCCACUUGUGCUUAAACGAUGAGUAUGACCUAUGAUCAAAUGUUCUCUUUUGACUCCUAAGUCAAUAUACUCAUACAUAGAUGGCCUAGUCAUCGCCAAUUGCUUGAUAGAUGCUAGAGUGAUUGUGCAUGCUUUGCCAGAUAUUUCAUUUAUUUUAUUGUGUGAGCAUGUUGGUUGCAUACUUUUCUCAUUCGAGGAUAUCCAUUUGUUGCUUUGAUUGUUUGGAGUUUCUUCUUUUUGCCAAAUGGAUGGACAAGAAUGCCUAAGAACUCCCUCUAGCUAUCUAUGCUUUUCUCUUCUCAAAUUCUAUUCAUGCUACAUCACAAAGUUUGAUCUAAGUCAAAUUCAAACCCUCCGUGUGAGGAGCACUCGGAGUACCGUCUUGUCAUAGACUUAAAACUUCCAAAACCUCUUUGUGUAUUUUGGUCUGACCAACUCCUCCAUUUCGGUCACACCGAGUUCACUGGGUUGAUCAAGUUUUCAAUCUCGGUGCAAUUGAUUAGAACAUUUCGGUCUCACCGAGUUGAAGUAACCGCUUGCGAUUCUGUAUCUCGGUGCCACCAAGUUGUUCCACUCAGUCACACCGACAAUGUUAGGAAAUAUAUACUAACGGGCCAGAUUUUGGAAAUCACUUCAAAACCUCUUCGCCCGUGCGUGUCCUGCUCUUCCUCGGGUCUCCGGAUUGUCACCUCGUCGCCAGCGACCUCCCGCCGCUGGUCUCUGCCGCCGUCAACGUAUUUCAAUGCCGCCGUUGCCGCCAUAGCAAACUCACCACCGAGCUAGGGUAUGAGUUCGAACCCUUGUGCAUUCUUUUUACCUCAGAUUCUGAGCACAAGGUCAAUGCCAUGUUCUUUACCACGUAUGAGAUCGAUCCAUCCACAGAGAACUUCCAUUAGACUAGAUUUGAUUUGAAAAUUUAGGGUUAGGUUUCCGUCGGACUCAUCUUGGACCGACCGAGUUGUAGGAAUCGGUUCCACCAAUUUGGCUUAGGCAAAGCACAAGUGAUUUUCGGUCUGACCGAAAGUUGCAAAUCGAUGUGACCGAUACCAGGACUUUGUGAAACCCUAGCAAACUCGGAGUCACCAAACUGUGUCUUGGUCUGAUCGAUUCCACAUGUUUAGACUCCAAAAUUGCUUCGGUAUCACCGAGUUUUACAAAUCGGUAGCUCCGAAAUGCUUCCUGUAGAAAACUAAAACUAAGUUUUGACUCAUUCUUUUUGCAAAAACUCCGCACUUUGUGAUGCUCAUUUACUCUACCUCAUCUACAUCUAUUCACAGGGUCUGCUGUCAGUUUGCUUUGCCAGAAUGUCUGAGUAGAGUGAUAGCCAGAACAAAUCAGAAGAGCAAGUGAACAUGAGUGAGGGCACUAGUCCCUCUAGUAGCUCUGAUGAUGGCAGCAGGAGCACUCCAAGCAAUUUUCCCAAGGCAGCUACAAGGACAAGGAAGAAGAGAACCUCAGACUUAGAGGAUAAGGACUAUAUGGCUGCUGAGGAGGAAGUAAGCUCCAAGAAGAAAGUGCUGAAAAAGGAAUAUGGAACUGCUGCUGCAACAAAAGCUGGUAUGCACAAGAACGCACCUUCCAAGAGAGUUCCCAUGUCAAAGGCCAGAACCUCCACUCAGGAAACUAUGGUCUUCACACUUGAGCCAAGAGCAGGUGAAGAAGGGAAGAAGAGGGUCAGAAAAACUAUAGCUAGAGUGAUUGGAAAUCCAUCUAUGAGGAAGGAUUCUGCAAGUGAGGAGGAAGAUGAAGAAGAGGUUGCUGCUCAAGCACCUCCUGCUAAGUCACAGAAGUUGAUGGGGGAUGCCAGCAAGUCUGGGGAAGUGAUAACCCGCAAGUAUAUGGGAUAGUUGUAGCCUCUUUUGAUAAGUAAGAGUGUCGAACCCAACUAGGAGCUAAAGGUAGAACAAAUACUCUCUCAAGUCCUAUCGGCCAUUGGUACGACUCUAUGCACGCUUGACAUUAGCUUUACCUAGAACAAGUAUGAAACUAGAAGUACUUUGUAGGUGUGAUAGGAUAGGUUUGCAAGAUAAUAAAGAACACGUAAAUAAAAAGUAGGGGAUGUUUAGAUAAAGAUGCAAUAAAGUAAAUAUAGAGAGUGUGGAAAAGUGGUGGUAGGAUUUGCGGAAUUGUCCCUAAGCAAUUGACUACUUUACUAGACCAAUAACAAGUUUUAUGUGGGAGAGGCCACUGCUAGCAUGUGAUCCCUGACUUGGAAUUCUAUGCACUUAUGAUUGGAACUAUUAGCAAGCAUCUGCAACUACUAACGUUCAUUAAGGUAAAACCCAACCAUAGCAUUAAGAUAUAUUGGCCCCCCUUCAAUCCCGUAUGCAUCAAUUUCUAUGCUAGGUAGAAGCUUCUGUCACUCUUGCCCUCCAAUACAUAGUCCUAUCAACAUACAACUAACCAUAUGGUGUGAUCCACACGCGCGCUCAUAUGAUGGACACCAAAGGACAACAACAUAACCACAAGCAAAUUAAAUCAAUCAUAGCAAUUCAUCAACCACCAAUAGGACAACGAAAAUCUACUCAGACAUCAUAGGAUGGCAACACAUCAUUGGAUAAUAAUAUGAAGCAUAAAGCACCAUGUUCAAGUAGAGGGUAUAACGGGUUGCGGGAGAGUGGACCGCUGUAGAUAGAGGAGGGAAGGUGAUGGAGAUGUUGGUGAAGAUGGCGGAGGUGUUGGUGAAGAUCGCGGUGAUGAUGAUGGCCCCCGGCGGCGUUCCCGCGCCACCGGAAGCAAGGGGGAGAGAGCCCCCCUUCUUCUUCUUCUUCCUUGACCUUCUCCCUAGAUGGGAGAAGGGUUUCCCCUCUGGUCCUUGGCUCCCAUGGCUUUGGAGGGGCGAGAUCCCCUCCGAGAUUGGAUCUACCUCUCUGUUUCUGUGUUCCCAGAUUCUGCCCCUCCACCGUUUCUUUUAUAUCCGGAGAUCCGUAACUCCGAUUGGGGUGAAUCUUUCGCCCAGAUUUUUCUCAUAAAAUUAGCUUUCUUGCGGCAAAAGAAGAGUGUCAACCACCUUACAGGUGGCCCAUGAGGGUGCCAGGCGUGCCCAGCGGGGAGGGCGCGCCCCCUAUCUCGUGGCCACCUCGGGCACCGUUUCGCGUUGAUUCUUCCUCCGGAAAAUCCCAAACAUUCCAAAAUAAUUCUCCGUCCAUUUUUAUCCCGUUUGGAUUCCGUUUGAUAUUGGGUUUCUGCGAAACAUAAAACAUGCAACAAACAGGAACUGACACUGGGCACUGGAUCAAUAUGUUAGUCCCAAAAAUAGUAUAAAAAGUUGCCAAAAGUAUAUGAAAGUUGAAUAAUAUUGGCAUAGAACAAUCAAAAAUUAUAGAUACGACGGAGACGUAUCAGCAUCCCCAAGCUUAAUUCCUGCUCGUCCUCGAGUAGGUAAAUGAUAAAAAAAGAUAAUUUUUGAUGUGGAAUGCUACCUAGAAUAAUCUUGAUCAUAUGUCUAAUCAUGGCAUGAAUAUUAAGACACGAGUGAUUCAAAGCAAUAGUCUAUCAUUUGACAUAAAAACAAUAAUACUUCGAGUGUACUAAUAAAGCAAUCAUGUCUUUUCAAAACAACAUGGCCAAAGCAAGCUUAUCCCUACAAAAUCAUAUAGUUUGGCCAUGCUUCAUUUUCGUCACAUAAAAUGCCCCCAUCAUGCACAACCCUGAUGACAAGCCGAGCAAUUGGUUCAAACUUUUUAACGCGCUUCAGCUUUUUCAACCCUCAUGCAAUAUAUGAGCGCAAGCCAUGGAUAUAGCACUAUAGGUGGAAUAGAAUAUGAUGGUUGGGUUUAUGUGGAGAAGACAAAAAGGGAGAAAGUCUCACAUCGACGUGGCUAAUCAACGGGCUAUGGAGAUGCCCAUCAAUUGAUGUCAAUGCGAGGAGUAGGGAUUGCCAUGCAACGGAUGCACUAAGAGCUAUAAGUGUAUGAAAGCUCAAACUGAAAACUAAGUGGGUGUGCAUCCAACUUGCUUGCUCAUGAAGACCUAGGGCAUUUGAGGAAGCCCAUCGUUGGAAUAUACAAGCCAAGUUCUAUAAUGAAAAUUCCCACUAGUAUAUGAAUGUGAUGACAUAGGAGACUCUCUAUAUGAAGAACAUGGUGCUACUCUAAAGCACAAGUGUGGUAAAAGGAUAGUAACAUUGCCCCUUUUCUUUUCUUUUUUUCUUUUUUUUCUUUUUUUCUUUUUCUUUUUUUGGGUGGGCUUCUUUGGCCCCCUUUUUUAUUUAGGCUUCUUUGGCCUUCCAUUUUUUUUCUUUUUUCAUUUUUUUUCAUGGGGCAAUGCUCUAUAAUGAUGAUCAUCACACUUUUAUUUACUUACAACUCAAUAUUACAACUCGAUACUAGAACAAAGAUAUGACUCUAUAUGAAUGCCUCCGGCGGUGUACCGGGAUGUGCAAUGAUCUAGCGUAGCAAUGACAUCAAAAAACGGACAAGCCAUGAAAACAUCAUGCUAGCUAUCUUACGAUCAUGCAAGACAAUAUGACAAUGAAUGCUCAAGUCAUGUAUAUGAUGAUGAUGGAAGUUGCAUGGCAAUAUAUCUCGGGAUGGCUAUGGAAAUGCCAUGAUAGGUAGGUAUGGUGGCUGUUUUGAGGAAGAUAUAAGGAGGCUUAUGUGUGAUAGAGCGUAUCAUAUCACGGGGUUUGGAUGCACCAGCGAAGUUUGCACCGACUCUCGAGGUGAGAAAGGGCAAUGCAUGGUACUGAAGAGGCUAGCAAUGAUGGAAAGGUAAAAGUGCGUAUAAUCCAUGGACUCAACAUUAGUCAUAAAGAACUCACAUACUUAUUGCAAGAAUUUAUUAGCCCUCGAAGUAAAGUACUACUACGCAUGCCCCUAGGGGGAUAGAUUGGUAGGAAAAGACCAUCGCUCGUCCCCGACCGCCACUCAUAAGGAAGACAAUCAAAGAAACACCCAUGCUUCAAAUUUGUCACACAACGGUUACCAUACGUGCAUGCUACGGGACUUGCAAACCUCAACACAAGUGUCUCUACAAUCCACAACCACCCACUAGCAUGACUCUAAUAUCACCAUCUUUAUGUCGCAAAACUGUUGCAAGGAAUCAAACAUAUCAUAUUCAGCCAUCUACAAGUUCAUGUAGGAUUUUAUGACUAACCAUGUGAAUGACCAAUUCCUGUCAUCUCUCUAAAUAGAUAUAAGUGAAGCAAGAGAGUUUAAUCCUUUCUACAAAAGAUAUGCCCACACUCUAACAAAUAUAAGUGAAGCAAAAGUGCAUUCUACAAAUGGCGGUUUUCUAUGUGAAGAGAAACAGGCAAUCCAAACUUCAAAUGAUAUAAGUGAAGCAUAUGAAGCAUUCUAUAAAGCCAUACUCAAAAGAUUUAAGUGAGGUGCAAUGAGCAUUCUAUAAAUCAACCAAGGACUAUCUCAUACCAGCAUGGUGCAUAAAAUAAAAGUGAAAACUAAAUGCAAAAGACGCUCCAAGACUUGCACAUAUCGCAUGAACGAAAUGAAUACAAAAACAUACCGAUACUUGUUGAAGAAAGAGGGGAUGCCUUCCGGGGCAUCCCCAAGCUUAGACGCUUGAGUUUCCUUGAAUAUUUACUUGGGGUGCCUCGGGCAUCCCCAAGCUUGAGCUCUUGCCUCUCUUCCUUUUCCUCAUAUCGAGACCUACUCAAUUAGACACCUCAUCCACACAAAACUUCAACAGAAAACUCGGUAAGAUCCGUUAGUAUAAUAAAGCAAAUCACCACUCUAAGUACUAUUGCAAACCAAUUCAUAUUUUGUUUUUGCAUUGUGUCUACUGUAAUAUAACUUUUUCAUGGCUUAAUCUGAAGGAAAUAUUCCCUAGAGGCAAUAAUAAAGUUAUUAUCUAUUUCCUUAUUUCAUGAUAAAUGUUUAUUAUUCAUGCUAGAAUUGUAUUAACCGGAAACAUAAUACAUGUGUGAAUACAUAGACAAACAUAGUGUCACUAGUAUGCCUCUACUUGACUAGCUUGUUGAUCAAAUAUGGCUGUGUUUCCUAGCCAUAGACAUGAGUUGUCAUUUGAUUAAUGGGAUCACAUCAUUAGAAGAAUGAUGUGAUUGACUUGACCCAUUCUAUUAGCUUAGCACUUGAUCGUUUAGUAUGUUGCUAUUGCUUUCUUCAUGACUUAUACAUGUUCCUAUGACUAUGAGAUUAUGCAACUCCCGUUUACUAGAGGAACACUUUGUGUGCUACCAAACAUCACAAUGUAACUGGGUGAUUAUAAAGGAGCUCUACAGGUGUCUCCGAAGGUACAUGUUGAGUUGGCAUAUUUCGAGAUUAGGGUUUGUCACUCCGAUUGUCAGAGAGGUAUCUCUGGGCCCUCUCGGUAAUGCACAUCACUAUAAGCCUUGCAAGCAAUGUGGCUAAUGAGUUAGUUGCAGGAUGAUGCAUUACAUAACGAGUAAAGAGACUUAUGGUAACGAGAUUGAACUAGGUAUUGAGAUACCGAUGAUCGAAUCUCGGGCAAGUAACAUAUCGAUGACAAAGGGAACAACGUAUGUUGUUAUGCGGUUUGACCGAUAAAGAUCUUCGUAGAAUAUGUAGGAGCCAAUAUGAGCAUCCAGGUUCCGCUAUUGGUUAUUGACCGGAAACGUGUCUCGGUCAUGUCUACAUAGUUGUCGAACCCGUAGGAUCCGCACGCUUAAGGUUUCGAUGAUAGUUAUAUUAUGAGUUUAUGAGUUUUGAUGUAUCGAAGGUUCUUCGGAGUCCCAGAUGUGAUCACGUACAUGACGAGGAGUCUCGAAAUAGUCGAGACAUGAAGAUUGAUAUAUUGGAAGCCUAUAUUUGGAUGUCGGAAGUGUUCCGGGUGGAAUCGGGAUUUUACCGGAGUACCGGUGGUUACCGGAACCCCCCCGAGGGCUUAAUGGGCCUACAUGGGCCGAAAUAGAGGGCAGCAAGGGGAGUGUGGGGCGUGCCCCCCAAGGUCCAAACUGAAUUGGUUUAGGGCAAGGGGGCCGCCCCCCUCUUUCCUUCUCCUCCUCUCCCUUUCCUUCCCCUUCUCCUACUCCUACUAGGAAAUAGGAGGAGUCCUACUCCUAGUGGGAGUAGGACUCCCCCUUGGCGCGCCUCUCCCUGGCCGGCCGCCUCCUCCCCUUGCUCCUUUAUAUACGUAGGCAGGGGGCACCCCAUAGACAUAACAAUUGAUCUCUUAAUCUCUUAGCCGUGUGCGGAGCCCCCCUCCACCAUAGUCCUCCUCGAUAAUAUUGUAGCGGUGCUUAGGUGAAGCGCUGCAACGGUAGAACAUCAAGAUCGUCACCACGCCGUCGUGCUGACGGAACUCUCCCUCGACACUCGGCUGGAUCGGAGUUUGAGGGACGUCAUCGAGCUGAACGUGUGCUAGAACUCGGAGGUGCCGUAGUUUCGGUGCUUGAUCGGUCGGGCCGUGAAGACGUACGACUACAUCAACCGCAUUGUUUAACGCUUCCGCUUUCGGUAUACGAGGGUCCGUGGACAACACUCUCCCCUCUUGUUGCUAUGCAUCACCAUGAUCUUGCGUGUGCGUAGGAAUUUUUUUGAAAUUACUACGUUCCUCAACAGUGGCAUCCGAGCCUAGUUUUAUGCGUAGAUGUUAUAUGCACAAGUAGAACACAAGUGAGUUGUGGGCGAUACAAGUCAACUUCUUACCAGCAUGUCAUACUUUGGUUCAGCGGUAUUGUUGGAUGAAGCGGCCCAGACCGACAUUACGCGUACGCUUACGCGAGACUGGUUCUACCGACGUGCUUUGCACACAGGUGGCUGGCGGGUGUCAGUUUCUCCAACUUUAGUUGAACCGAGUGUGGCUACGCCCGGUCCUUGCGAAGGUUAAAACAUCACUAACUUGACGAACUAUCGUUGUGGUUUUGAUGCGUAGGUAAGAACGGUUCUUGCUCAGCCCAUAGCAGCCACGUAAAAUUUGCAACAACAAAGUAGAGGACGUCUAACUUGUUUUUGCAGGGCAUGUUGUGAUGUGAUAUGGUCAAGACGUGAUGCUAUAUUUUAUUGUAUGAGAUGAUCAUGUUUUUUAACCGAGUUAUUGGCAACUGGCAGGAGCCAUAUGGUUGUCACUUUAUUGUAUGAAAUGCAAGCGCCCUGUAAUUGCUUUACUUUAUCACUAAGCGGUAGCGAUAGUCGUAGAAGCAAUAGAUGGCGUAACGACAACGAUGCUACGAUGGAGAUCAAGGUGUCGCGCCGGUGACGAUGGUGAUCACGACGGUGCUUCGGAGAUGGAGAUCAUAAGCACAAGAUGAUGAUGGCCAUAUCAUAUCCACUUAUAUUGAUUGCAUAUGAUGUUUAUCCUUUAUGCAUCUUAUUUUGCUUUUAUUGAUGGUAGCAUUAUAAGAUGAUCUCUCACUAAUUAUCAAGAAGUGUUCUCCCUGAGUAUGCACCGUUGUGAAAGUUCUUCGUGCUGAGACACCAUGUGAUGAUCGAGUGUGAUAGGCUCUACGUUCAAAUACAACGGGUGCAAAACAGUUGCACACGCGGAAUACUCAGGUUAAACUUGACGAGCCUAGCAUAUACAGAUAUGGCCUCAGAACAUGGAGACCGAAAGGUCGAGCGUGAAUCAUAUAGUAGAUAUGAUUGAUAAGCCACAAGUAUAUGGGAUCUAUCAUAGUCCUUUCGAUAAGUAAGAGUGUCGAACCCAAUGAGGAGCAGAAGGAAAUGAUAAGCGGUUUUCAGCAAGGUAUUCUCUGUAAGUACUGAAAUAAGUGGUAACAGAUAGUUUUGUGAUAGGAUAAAUUGUAACGAGCAACAAGUAACAAAAGUAAAUAAAGUGCAGCAAGGUGGCCCAAUCCUUUUUGUAGCAAAGGACAAGCCUGGACAAACUCUUAUAAUAGGAAAAGCGCUCCCGAUGACACAUGGGAAUAUCGUCAAGCUAGUUUUCAUCACGCUCAUAUGAUUCGCGUUCGGUACUUUGAUAAUUUGAUAUGUGGGUGGACCGGUGCUUGGGUACUGCCCUUACUUGGACAAGCAUCCCACUUAUGAUUAACCUCUAUUUCAAGCAUCCGCAACUACAACAAAAGUAUUAAGGUAAACCUAACCAUAGCAUGAAACAUAUGGAUCCAAAUCAGCCCCUUAUGAAGCAAUGCAUAAACUAGGGUUUAAGCUUCUGUCACUCUAGCAACCCAUCAUCUACUUAUUACUUCCCAAUGCCUUCCUCUAGGCCCAAAUAAUGGUGAAGUGUUAUGUAGUCGACGUUCACAUAACACCACUAGAGGUUAGACAACAUACAUCUUAUCAAAAUAUCGAACGAAUACCAAAUUCACAUGACUACUAAUAGCAAGACUUCUCCCUUGUCCUCAGGAACAAAUGUAACUACUCAUAAAGCAUAUUCAUGUUCAUAAUUAGAGGGGUAAUAUUGUGCAUAAAGGAUCUGAACAUAUGAUCUUCCACCAAAUAAACCAACUAGCAUCAACUACAAGGAGUAAUCAACACUACUAGCAACCUACUAGCAUCAAUCCCGGACUUGGAGACAAGAAUUGGAUACAAGAGAUGAACUAGGGUUUGGAGAUGAGAUGGUGCUGGUGAAGAUGUUGAUGGAGAUUGCCCUCUCCCAAUGAGAGGAGCAUUGGUGAUGACGAUGGUGAUGAUUUCCCCCUCCCGGAGGGAAUUGUCCCCGGCAGAACAGCUCUGCCGGAGCCCUAGAUUGGUUCCGCCAAGGUUCCGCCUCGUGGCGGCGGAGUCUCGUCCCAAAAGGUUCUCCUCUAUUUUUUUCUCAUCGAAAGACUUUAUAUGGGAGAAGAUGGACGUCGGAGAGCCACUAGGGGGCUCACGAGGUAGGGGGCGCGCCCAGGGGGGGCAUCGUCAUGAGCAGGGUGUGGGCCCCCUGGCCUUCAUCUUUGGUGACGAUUUUUCUUUAUUUAUUCUAAGGUAUUCCGUGGAGUUUCAGGACUUUUGGAGUUGCGCAGAAUAGUCCUUCAAUAUUUGCUCCUUUUCCAGCCCAGAAUUCCAGGUGCCGGCAUUCUCCCUCUUUAUGUAAACCUUGUAAAAUAAGAGAGAACAACCAUAAGUAUUGUGACAUAACGUGAAAUAAUAGCCCAUAAUGCAAUAAAUAUUGACAUAAAAGCAUGAUGCAAAAUGGACGUAUCAACUCCCCCAAGCUUAGACCUCGCUUGUCCUCAAGCGAAAAGCCGAUAACAAUAAAUAUGUCCUCAUGUUUAGAGGUAGAGGCGUCGAUAAAAAUAAAAUACGGACAUGAAGGCAUCAUGAUAACUUCAUAACAGCAACAUAUAUAAAUUUUGUCAUAUGAUUACUUAUGUUCUAGUGAUGAUCUUUUCACAAAGCCAAAAUAUGAAUCAGAAACUUUAUUGGGCACCAACAAUUAUAAUCUCAGUCAUUGAAGCAAUUGCAAUUUAUCAUAACAUCGGAAAGAGUCUAUGUCAGAGCUUAAAAGCAAGUCCACAUACUCAACUAUCACUUAGUCCUUCAUAAUUGCUAGCACUCACGCGAUACUUUGUGGUUACGGAGUUUUAAUCGGACACAAAGAAAGAUAGGGGCUUAUAGUUUUUGCCCCACAACCUUUUACCUCAAGGGUAAUGUCAACAAUAAUAAUUCACGCCCCCCACAUCCAAUUAGAUAUAUAUAUCAUGUUCUUUCCAACAUGCUGAGCUUGCCAAAGGAUAAAAUGAAAAAGGAAGGGUGAAGAUCACCAUGACUCUUGCAUAAGGUAGAGGAUAAUAAAUAAAAGAUAGGCCCUUCGCAGAGGGAAGCAGAAGUUGUCAUGCGCGUUUAGGGUUGAUGCACAAAAUCUUAAUGCAAAAGAACGUCACUUUAUAUUGCCCCUUGCAUGUGAACCUUUAUUAUGCAGUCCGUCGCUUUUAUUGCGUCCACAACAAGUUCGUACAAAGCUUAUUUCUCUGCACUAAUAAGUCAUGCAUAUUUAGAGAGCAAUUUUUUAUUGCUUGCACUGAUAACAACUUACUUGAAGGAUCUUACUCAAUCCAUAGGUAGAUAUGGUGGACUCUCAUGGCAAAACUGGUUUAAGGGUAUUUGGAAGCACAAGUAGUAUUUCUACUUAGUGCUGAGAAUUGGCUAGCAUGAGGGGGAAAGGCAAACUCAACACGGUAGAGGAACCAUGACAACAUACUUUAUCUCAGAUGUAAGAAAACAUAACUCAUUAUGUUGUCUUCCUUGUCCAACAUCAACUCUUUAGCAUGUCAUAUUUUAAUGAGUGCUCCCAAUCAUAAAAGAUGUCAAUGAUAAUAUAUCUAUACGUGAAACCUCUCUUUCCUUAUUACUUCCUAUUAAUUGCAACGAUGACCAAAGCUAUAUUUGCCAACUCCCAACAACUUUAAAUCAUCAUACUCUCUCUAUGUGAAGUCAUUACUUUCAAUAAGAUCAAUAUGAACUCUUGACUCUUUUUAUUCUUUUUCUUCUAAUCACCCAAGAUCAUGGCAAAAUACUCAAGCCCUUGACUCAACACUAAUCUUUAUUAUAUAGCUCACGGACUCGAUUACAAAGAAGGAUCAUAAAGCAAAACUCAAAACUAGAUCAUCCCAUGACUUUAUUCUACUAAAUCAAGAUACAACUAAUAGGAUCGAACUAAGAAAAACGGUAAAGAUAGGAGUUGUGAUGGUGAUACGAUACCAGAGCACUUCCCCCAAGCUUGGCAGUUGCCAAGGGGAGUGCCCAUACCCAUGUGAUUAUAUAUCCUUCUUUGUUGUUGGCGGUGGAGGUGUUGUUGAUGAUGGAGUUGUCGCAUUUUUCUUCUCUAGCUUGUGUCUGAGGCUAAAAUUUUCAUACCUCAGAUCCUCAUUCUCGAGCUCAAGUUUCAUUAUCUUUUUGCAUAGUGCUGCCUUACUGUCCUGCAAAAAACGAGGUGGGAUAGAUUGGACCUUAUGGAGGCUUGACUUCUUGAACUCCACAUGGAUGUCACCAAGUUGAGGUAGGGGAUAGUCCUCUUCGUCGGAACUCGUUUCCUCCUUCCUCUUUGGAUCAUAGUCUUCUUCUUCCUCCGUGGUCCAGCCAUAAUGCUCCACGUCCCCAUAUACCUUGGGAUUUGCAAUAUAAUCAGCCAUGUAGCUCUCUCCCUUCGAAUCUUGGGAAGACAUCUUGCUCUAGUCUGCAGCAGCAAUGGCUCGAAACAAAAACAGGGGAGAUUUGCGUGAUACGAGAGUAACAACCUUCGGGAGUAUAUAUAAUGAAUUUUUACCGACCAAAAUACGUAUCAUGCAAGGAAACGGAGUCCGGAGGCCACACGAGGUGCUCACGAGGUAGGGGGCGCGCCCAGGGGGUAGGGCGCGCCCUCCACCCUCGUGGAGGCCUCGUGUCCUCCCCGGACUGCUACUUACUUAUCUAUUUUUCUAAAUAUUCCAAAACAGAGAAAUAUUUCCUUAAAAAUUGUUUUGGAGUCGGUUUACUUACCGUACCACAUACCUAUUCCUUUUCGGAGUCUGGAAUGUUCUGGAAAGUGUCCCUUAUAUAUUCCUCCGGGGUUACGGUUUCAAUAACAUUAGUUUCAACAUUUAUAGGAUUACCUGAGAUAUAGUGUUUGAUCCUUUGACUGUUCACCACCUUCGGAUUUGUGCCUGCAAAGUUGUUGAUUUUUAUGGCACCGGAAUGAUAGACCUCCUCGAUAACGUAAGGACCUUCCCAUUUGGAGAGAAGUUUUCCUGCAAAAAAUCUUAAACGAGAGUUGUAUAGCAAUACAUAGUCACCUACAUUAAACUCAUGCUUUUGUAUCCUUUUGUCAUGCCACCUUUUAACUUUUCCUUUAAAUAGCUUGGCAUUUUCAUAAGCUUGGGUUCUCCAUUCAUCAAGUGAGCUAAUAUCAAAUAACCUCUUCUCACCGGCAAGUUUGAAAUCAUAGUUGAGCUCCUUAAUAGCCCAAUAUGCCUUAUGUUCUAGUUUGAGAGGUAAAUGACAUGCUUUUCCAUAAACCAUUUUAUACGGAGACAUACCCAUAAGAUUUUUAUAUGCAGUUCUAUAGGCCCAUAAUGCAUCAUCAAGUUUUUUGGACCAAUUCUUCCUGGACCUAUUGACAGUCUUUUGUAAAAUUAAUUUGAGCUCUCUAUUGCUCAAUUCUACCUGACCACUAGACUGCGGAUGAUAUGGAGAUGCAAUCCUAUGAUUAAUGUCAUAUUUAGCAAGCAUCUUACGAAAAGCACCAUGAAUAAAGUGUGAACCACCAUCAGUCAUUAAGUAUCUAGGGACUCCAAACCUCGGAAAAAUAACUUCCUUAAGCAUUUUAACAGAAGUGUUAUGAUCAGCACUACUAGUUGGAAUAGCUUCUACCCACUUAGUAACGUAAUCAACAGCAACUAGAAUAUGAGUGUAACCAUUAGAGGCAGGAAUAGGUCCCAUAUAAUCAAAGCCCCAAACAUCAAAUGGCUCAAUAACAAGUGAAUAAUUCAUAGGCAUUUCUUGACAUCUACUAAUAUUACCAAUUCUUUGACAUUCAUCGCAAGACAAAACAAACUUACAGGCAUCCUUGAAGAGAGUAGGCCAAUAAAACCCGGAUUGCAAUACCUUAUGUGCAGUUCUAUCUCCAGCGUGAUGUCCUCCAUAAGCUUCGGAGUGACACUUGCGUAGGAUCUGUUCCUGUUCAUGCUCAGGUACACAACGUCUAAUAACACCAUCUACUCCCUCUUUAUAAAGAUGUGGGUCAUCCCAAAAGUAAUGUCACAAAUCAUAGAAAAACUUUUUCUUUUGUUGGUAUGUGAAGCUAGGCGGUAUAAAUUUAGCAACAAUAUAAUUAGCAUAAUCAGCAUACCAUGGAGUGCUACAAGAAGUACUUAUGCCAUUUAAUUGCUCAUCAGGAAAGCUAUCAUCGAUAGGUAGUGGGUCAUCAAGAACAUUCUCUAGCCUAGACAAGUUGUCUGCAACGGGGUUCUUAGCUCCUUUUAUAUCAACAAUAUGUAAAUCAAAUUCUUGAAGCAAGAUAACCCAUCUAAUGAGUCUAGGUUUUGCAUCUUUCUUUUCCAUAAGAUAUUUAAUAGUAGCAUGAUUUGUAUGAAUAGUGACUCUAGAAUCAACAAUAUAGGGUCUAAAUUUAUCACAAGCAAAUACAACCGCUAAAAGUUCCUUUUCGGUAGUAGCAUAAUUUCUUUGAGCAUUGUCUAGAGUCUUACUAGCAUAAUGGAUGACAUUCAAUUUCUUAUCAACUCUUUGCCCUAGAACAGCACCUACAGCAAAAUCACUAGCAUCACACAUAAUUUCAAAGGGUAAAUUCCAAUCAGGUGGCUGAACAACAGGUGCAGAGACUAAUGCUUUCUUAAGUAUUUCAAAUGCUUCUACACAAUCAUCAUCAAAGACAAAUGGUACAUCUUUUUGUAAUAAAUUAGUCAGAGGCCGAGAGAUUUUUGAGAAGUCCUUGAUGAACCUCCUAUAAAAUCCGGCGUGACCAAGGAAACUUCUUAUACCUUUGAUGUCCUUAGGACAUGGCAUCUUUUCAAUAGCAUCAACCUUGGCUUUAUCAACUUCAAUACCUCUUUCAGAAACUUUGUGCCCCAAGACAAUACCUUCAUUAACCAUAAAGUGACACUUUUCCCAAUUCAAGACAAGAUUAGUUUCUUCACAUCUCUACAAAACUCGAGCGAGAUUGCUCAAGCAAUCAUCAAAAGAGGAACCAUAGACGGAAAAGUCAUCCAUGAAAACCUCACAAAUUUUCUCACAAAAGUCAGAGAGUAUAGCCAUCAUGCAUCUUUGAAAGGUAGCAGGUGCAUUACAUAAACCAAAAGGCACACGUCUAUAAGCAAAAGUACCAAAAGGGCAUGUAAAAGUAGUCUUUGAUUGAUCUUUAGCCGACACAGGUAUUUGAGAAAAAACACAGUAACCAUCUAGAAAACAAUAAUGUGUAUGUUUGCAUAGUCUUUCUAGCAUUUGAUCAAUAAAAGGUAAGGGGUAAUGAUCUUUCUUAGUAGCCUUAUUUAAUUUGCGGAAAUCAAUUACCAUCCUAUAACCUGUGAUAAUUCUUUGCGGAAUCAAUUCAUCUUUAUCAUUAGGGACAACAGUAAUACCUCCCUUCUUAAGGACACAAUGGACAGGACUUACCCACUGACUAUCAGCAACGGGAUAAAUUAUACCUGCCUCCAGAAGCUUGAGUAUUUCUUUUCUUACCACUUCUUUCAUUUUAGGAUUCAAACGUCGUUGAGGAUCACAAACUGGUUUGGCAUCAGCUUCCAAAUUUAUUUUAUGUUGGCAUAGAGUGGACUGAUGCCCUUAAGAUCAUCCAGAGUAUAUCCAAUAGCGGCACGAUGCUUCUUUAGAGUGUUCAAUAAUCUUUCUUCUUCAUGCUCUGAAAGGUUAGCGCUAAUAAUAACAGGAUAUAUUUUCUUUUCAUCAAGAUAAGCAUAUUUAAGAUUAUCAGGCAACGGUUUAAGCUCAAAUACGGGAUCACCCUUGGGUGGAGGGGGAUCCCCUAGGAUUUUAACAGGCAAAUUGUGUUGCAGAAUAGGUUCCUGUUUAAAGAAUACUUCAUCUAUUUCCCUUCUUUCAUUCAUGAACAUAUCAUUUUCAUGGUCUAGCAAAUAGUGUUCUAAAGGAUCACUAGGAGGUACAACAAUAGAAGCAAGACCAAUAAUUUCACCCUUACCAGGCAAUUCUUCCUCACGAUGUUGUUUACUAAAUUUAGAGAAAUUAAACUCAUGAACCAUAUCGUCCAAGCCAAUAGUAACAACAUUCUUUUUGCAGUCUAUCUUAGCAUUAACAGUACGCAAGAAGGGUCUGCCAAAUAUAAUGGGACAAAAGCUAUCUUGUGGAGAACCAAGAACAAGAAAAUCAGCGGGAUAUUUGGUUUUCCCACACAAGACUUGAACAUCUCUAACAAUUCCCAUUGGAGAUAUGGUAUCUCUAUUGGCAAGUUUAAUUGUAACAUCAAUAUCUUCUAACUCAGCAGGUGUAAUAUCAUGCAUAAUUUCUUUGUAUAAAUCAAUGGGUAUAACACUAGCACUAGCACCCAUAUCACAUAAGCCAUGAUAACAAUGAUCUCCUAUUUUAACUGAAAUAAUAGGCACGCCUACCACAAGUCUAUGUUUUUCUCUAUCACGGGGUUUAGCAAUUCUAGCAGUUUCACCAGUGAAUUGAAUAACAUGCCCAUCAAUAUUAUCAGACAAGAGAUCUUUAACAAUAGCAAUAUUGGGUUCUACUUUGACUUGCUCAGGGGGUGUAUAAGUCCUAGUAUUGCUUUUACGAACAAUAGUUGAAGCUUUAGCAUGAUCCUUCAUUCUAACAGGGAAAUGUGGUUUCUCAACAUAAGAAGUAGGAACAAUAGGAUCAUUAUAAAUGAAAAUCUUUUCUUCAACUUUAAUAGGUGCAGCUACUUUUACUUCUAUGGGAGGAUGAUAUUUAAACCACUUCUCCUUGGGGAGAUCAACAUAAGUAGCAAAAGAUUCACAUAAAGAAGCUACUAUCUCAGAGUCAAGUCCAUAUUUAGUGCUAAACUUACGGAAAAUAUCGGUAUCCAUAAAAGAUUUAACACAAUCAAACUUAGGUGUAAUACCUUACUCCUUACCUUCGUCGAGGUCCCAAUCUUCAGAGUUGCGUUUAAUUCUGUCCAAUAAAUUUGAUCCAAAUUCAAUAGACUUCAUCAUAAAAGAGCCAGCACAAGAAGUAUCGAGCAUGGUGCGAUUAUUAUCAGAAAGCCGAGCAUAAAAAUUCUAGAGAAUUGUCAAUUUUGAGAGCUCAUGAUUGGGGCAUGAAUAUAACAUUGAUUUAAGCCUCCCCCAAGCUUGAGCGACGCUUUCUCCUUUGCGAGGCCAAAAAUUAUAUAUAUAAUUGCGAUCACGAUGAACAAGAUGCAUAGGGUAAUACUUUUGAUGACAUUCCAAUUUCAAUCUUUUAUAGUUCCAUGAUCUCGUAUCAUCACAUAGCCUAUACCAUGUCAAUGCGUCUCCCUCCAAAGAUAAAGGGAAAGCCUUCCUCUUAACGGCAUUAUCGGGUAUACCUGCAAACUUAAAUAGUCCACAAAUAUCAUCCACAAAGCGUAGAUGUUCGUCAGGAUGCUUUGUUCCAUCUCCUGCGAAAGUGUUAGCUAGCAGUUUUUCCAUCAUACCCGAAGGAAUCUGAAAAGCACUUUCAUUUUCAAUAGAUUCAGUAGGUUCAGUAGGUUGAGGAGCAACUCUUGGCUCAACUGGACGGGGUGAAGAUACCCCGAACAAGCCCCUCAAACAAUUACUUUCCAUGGUAACAAGUGACAGAAAAUUUCAACACACUAAAUAAAUUUUUCCUUACCAAAUUCCACCUACCAAAGGCGCUUCACUCCCCGGCAACGGCGCCAGAAAAGAGUCUUGAUGACCCACAAGUAUAGGGGAUCUAUCGUAGUCCUUUCGAUAAGUAAGAGUGUCGAACCCAACGAGGAGCAGAAGGAAAUGAUAAGCAGUUUUCAACAAGGUAUUCUCUGUAAGUACUGAAAUAAGUGGUAACAGAUAGUUUUGUGAUAGGAUAAAUUGUAACGAGCAACAAGUAACAAAAGUAAAUAAAGUGCAGCAAGGUGGCCCAAUCCUUUUUGUAGCAAAGGACAAGCCUGGACAAACUCUUAUAAUAGGAAAAGCGCUCCCGAGGACACAUGGGAAUAUCGUCAAGCUAGUUUUCAUCACGCUCAUAUGAUUCGCGUUCGGUACUUUGAUAAUUUGAUAUGUGGGUGGACCGGUGCUUGGGUACUGCCCUUACUUGGACAAGCAUCCCACUUAUGAUUAACCUCUAUUGCAAGCAUCCACAACUACAACAAAAGUAUUAAGGUAAACCUAACCAUAGCAUGAAACAUAUGGAUCCAAAUCAACCCCUUAUGAAGCAACACAUAAACUAGGGUUUAAGCUUCUGUCACUCUAGCAACCCAUCAUCUACUUAUUACUUCCCAAUGCCUUCCUCUAGGCCCAAAUAAUGGUGAAGUGUUAUGUAGUCGACGUUCACAUAACACCACUAGAGGUUAGACAACAUACAUCUUAUCAAAAUAUCGAACGAAUACCAAAUUCACAUGACUACUAAUAGCAAGACUUCUCCCUUGUCCUCAGGAACAAACGUAACUACUCACAAAGCAUAUUCAUGUUCAUAAUCAGAGGGGUAAUAUUGUGCAUAAAGGAUCUGAACGUAUGAUCUUCCACCAAAUAAACCAACUAGCAUCAACUACAAGGAGUAAUCAACACUACUAGCAACCUACUAGCACCAAUCCCGGACUUGGAGACAAGAAUUGGAUACAAGAGAUGAACUAGAGUUUGGAGAUGAGAUGGUGCUGGUGAAGAUGUUGAUGGAGAUUGCCCUCUCCCGAUGAGAGGAGCGUUGGUGAUGACGAUGGUGAUGAUUUCCCCCUCCCGGAGGGAAUUGUCCCCGGCAGAACAGCUCUGCCGGAGCCCUAGAUUGGUCCCCGGCAGAAUAGCUCGUGGCGGUGGAGUCUCAUUCCAAAAGGUUCUCCUCUAUUUUUUUCUCAUCGAAAGACUUCAUACGGGAGAAGAUGGACAUCGGAGAGCCACCAGGGGGCCCACGAGGUNNNNNNNNNNNNNNNNNNNNNNNNNNNNNNNNNNNNNNNNNNNNNNNNNNNNNNNNNNNNNNNNNNNNNNNNNNNNNNNNNNNNNNNNNNNNNNNNNNNNNNNNNNNNNNNNNNNNNNNNNNNNNNNNNNNNNNNNNNNNNNNNNNNNNNNNNNNNNNNNNNNNNNNNNNNNNNNNNNNNNNNNNNNNNNNNNNNNNNUUUCUUUAUUUAUUCUAAGGUAUUCCGUUGAGUUUCAGGACUUUUGGAGUUGUGCAGAAUAGUCCUUCAAUAUUUUCUCCUUUUCCAGCCCAGAAUUCCAGCUGUCGGCAUUCUCCCUCUUUAUGUAAACCUUGUAAAAUAAGAGAGAAUAGCCAUAAGUAUUGUGACAUAACGUGAAAUAACAGCCCAUAAUGCAAUAAAUAUUGACAUAAAAGCAUGAUGCAAAAUGGACGUAUCAAUGAUCAACAUAGUGAUGUUCACCAUUGAAAACUACUCCAUCUCAUGUGAUGACCGGACAUGGUUUAGUUGAUUUGGAUCACGUGAUCACUUAGAUGACCAGAGAGAUGUCUGUCUAAGUGGGAGUUCUUAAGUAAUAUGAUUAACUGAACUUAAAUUUAUGAUGAACUUAGUCCUGGUAGUAUUCUACAAAUUAUGUUGUAGAUCAAUAGCUCGCGUCGUUGCUUUCAUAUGUUUAUUUUGAUAUGUUCACAGAAAAUUGUGUUGAAAGAUGUUAGUAGCAAUGAUGCAGAUUGGAUCCGUGAUCUGAAGUUUAUCCUCAUUGUUGCACAGAAGAAUUAUGUCCUUGAUGCACCGCUAGGUGACAGACCUAUUGCAGGAGCAGAUGCAGACGUUAUGAACGUUUGGCUAGCUCAAUAUGAUGACUACUUGAUAGUUUAGUGCACCAUGCUUAACGGCUUAGAAUCGGGACUUCAAAGACGUUUUGAACGUCAUGGACCAUAUGAGAUGUUCCAGGAGUUGAAGUUAAUAUUUCAAGCAAAUACCCGAGUUGAGAGAUAUGAAGUCUCCAACAAGUUCUAUAGCUAAAAGAUGGAGGAGAAUCACUCAACUAGUGAGCAUGUGCUUAGAUUGUCUGGGUACUACAAUCGCUUGAAUCAAGUGGGAGUUAAUCUUCCAGAUAAGAUAGUGAUUAACAGAGUUCUCUAGUCACCAUCACCAAGUUAUUGGAACUUCGUGAUGAACUAUAGUAUGCAAGGGAUUACAAAAACGAUUCCCGAGCUCUUUGUGAUGUUGAAAUCGACGAAGGUAGAAAUCAAGAAAGAGCAUCAAAGUGUUGAUGAUCGACAAGACCACUAGUUUCAAGUAAAGGGCAAAGGGAAAGAAAGGGAACUUCAAGUAGAAUGGCAAGCAAGUUGUCACUCCCGUGCAAGAUCCCAAACCUGGACCAAAGCCUGAAACUGAAUGCUUCUACUGCAAAGGAAAUGGUCACUAGAAGCGGAAAUAAGUAGGAUGGCAAAGUGAACAAGAGUAUAUUUGAUAUACAAGUUAUUGAUGUGUACUUUACUAGUGUUUAUAGUAGCCCCUAAGUAUUUGAUACUUGUUCGGUUGCUAAAAAUUAGUAACUCGAAACAGGAGUUACAGAAUAAACAGAGACUAGUUGAGGGUGAAGUGACGAUGUGUGUUGGAAGUGGUUCCAAGAUUGAUAUGAUCAUCACCACACACUCCCUAUAUUUUCGAGAUUAGUGUCAAACCUAAAUAAAUGUUAUUUGGCGUUUGCGUUGAGCAUAAAUAUGAUAAGAUCAUGUUUAUUGCGAUACGAUUAUUCAUCUAAGAUAGAGAAUAAAUUGUUAUUCUAUUUACAUAAAUAAAACCUUCUAUGGUCAUACACCCAAUGGUGAUGGUUUAUUGAAUCUUGAUCAUAGUGAUACACAUAUUCAUAAUGUUGAUGCCAAAAGAUGCAAAGUUAAUAAUGAUAGUGCAACUUAUUUGUGGCACUGCCGUUUGGGUCAUAUCGGUGUAAAGCGCAUGAAGAAACUCCAUAAAGAUGGAUUUUCAGAAUCACUUGGUUAUGAAUCAUUUGAUGCUUGCGAACCGUGCCUUUUGGGCAAGAUGACUAAAACUCCAUUCUCCGGAAAAAUGGAACGAGCUACUAACUUGUUGGAAAUAAUACAUACCGAUGUAUGCGGUCCAAUGAGUGUUGAUGCUCAUGGCGGGUAUCGUUAUUUUCUGACCUUCACAGAUGAUUUGAGCAGAUAUGCGUAUAUCUACUUAAUGAAGCACAAGUCUAAAUCAUUUGAAAAGUUCAAAAGAAUUUCAGAGUGAAGUGGAGAAUCAUCGUAACAAGAAAAUAAAGUUUCUACAAUCUGAUCAUAGAGAAGAAUAUUUGAGUUACGAGUUUGGCCUUCAUUUUAAACAAUAGUUGCAAAGCUCACGCCACAUGGAACACCACAACAUAAUGGUGUGUCCGAACGUCGUAACCGCACUUUAUUGGAUAUGGUGUGAUCUAUGAUGUAUCUUACCGGUUUACCACUAUCGUUUUGGGGUUAUGCAUUAGAGAUAGCUGCAUUCACUUUAAAUAGGGCACCAUCUAAAUCCGUUGAGACAACACCGUAUGAACUAUGGUUUAGCAGUAAACCUAAGUUGUCAUUUCUUAAAAGUUUGGAGUUGCGAUGCUUAUGUGAAAAGGGUUUCAACCUGAUAAGCUCGAACCCAAAUUGGAGAAGUGUGUCUUCAUAGAAUACCCAAAGGAAACUGUUGGGUACACCUUCUAUCACAGAUCCGAAGGCAAAACAUUCGUUGCUAAGAAUGGAUCCUUUAUAGAGAAGGAGUUUCUCUCGAAAGAAGUGAGUGGGAGGAAAGUAGAGCUUGAUAAGGUAAUUUGUACCUUCUCCCGAAUUGGAAAGUAGUUCAUCACAGAAAUCAGUUCCAGUGAUUCCUACACCAAUUAGUGAGGAAGCUAAUGAUGAUGAUCAUGAAACUUCAGAUUAAGUUACUACAAAACCUCGUAGGUCUUCCAAAGUACAGUCCGCACCAGAGUGGUACGGUAAUCCUGUUCUGGAAGUCAUGUUACUAGACCAUGAUGAACCUACGAACUAUGAGGAAGCGACGAUGAGCCCAGAUUCCGCGAAAUGGCUUGAGGCCAUGAAAUCAGAGAUGGGAUCCAUGUAUGAGAACGAAGUGUGGACUUUGGUGGAGUUGCCCAAUGAUCGGCAAGCCAUAUUGUAUAAAUGGAUCUUCAAGAGGAAGACAGACGCUGAUAGUAGUGUUACUAUCUACAAAGCUCGACUUGUCGCAAAAAGGUUUUUCGACAAGUUCAAGGUGUUGACUACAAUGAGAUUUUCUCAACUGUAGCGAUGCUUAAGUCUGUCCAAAUCAUAUUAGCAAUUGCCACAUUUUAUGAAAUCUGGUAAAUGGAUGUCAAAACUGCAUUCCUUAAUGGUUUUCUUAAAAAAGAGUUGUAUAUGAUGUAACCAGAAGGUUUUGUCAAUCCUAAAGGUGCUAACAAAAUGUGCAAGCUCCAGCGAUCCAUCUAUGGACUGGUGCAAGCAUCUCAGAGUUGGAAUAUAUGCUCUAAUAAGUUGAUCAAAGCAUAUAGUUUUAUACAGACUUGCGGUGAAGCCUGUAUUUACAAUAAAGUGCGUAGGAGCACUACCGCCUUUUUGAUAAAUAUAUGUGAGUAACAUAUUGUUGAUCAGAAAUGAUGUAGAAUUUUUCUAGAAAGCAUGAAGGAGUAUUUGAAAGGAGUUCUUUAAAAGAAAGACCUCAGUAAAGCUACUUACGUAUUGAGCUUCAAGAUCUAUUGAGAUAGAUCAAGACGCUUGAUAAGUUUUUCAAUAAGUACAUACCUUGUCAAGAUUUUGAAGUAGUUCAAAAUGGAACAGUCAAAGAAAGAGUUCUUGCCUAUGUUGCAAAGGUGUGAAAUUGAGUAAGACUAAAAUCCCGACCACAGAAGAAAAUACAAAAGAGAAUUAAAGUCAUCCCCUAUGCCUCAGUCAUAGGUUCUAUAAAAGUAUGCUAUGCUAUGUACCAGACCUAUUGUAUACCUUGCCCUGAAUUUGGCAAGGGAGUACAAUAGUGAUCUAGGAGCAGAUCACUGGACAUUGGUCAAGAAUAUCCUUAGUGAGGACUAAGGAAAUAUUUCUCGAUUAUGGAGGUGAUAAAAGAGCUCGUCGUAAAGAGUUACAUCGGUGCGAACUUUUACACCGAUCCAGAUGACUCUAAGUCUCAAUCUGGAUACAUAUUGAAAGUGGGAGCAAUUAACUAGAGUAGCUCCAUGCAGAGCAUUGUAGACAUAGAAUAUUUGAAAAAUACAUAUGGCUCUGAAUGUGACAGACCCUUUGACUAAGUUUCUCUCACGGGCAAAACAUGAUCAGACCUUAGUACUCUUUGGGUGUUAAUCACAUAACGCUGUGAACUAGAUUAUUGACUCUAGUAAACCCUUUGGGUGUUGGUCACAUGACGAUGUGAACUAUGGGUGUUAAUCAUAUACAGAUAUGAAUAUUGGUGUUAAAUCACAUGGCGAUGUGAACUAGAUUACUGACUCUAGUGCAAGUGGGAGACUGAAGGAAAUAUGCCCUAGAGGCAAUGAUAAAAUUAUUAUUUAUUUCCUGAUUUCAUGAUAAAUGUUUAUUAUUCAUGCUAGAAUUGUAUUAACCGGAAACAUAAUACAUGUGUGAAUACAUAGACAAACAUAGUGUCACUAGUAUGUCUCUACUUGACUAUCUUGUUGAUCAAAGAUGGUUGUGUUUCCUAGCCAUAGACAUGAGUUGUCAUUUGAUUAACGGGAUCACAUCAUUAGAAGAAUGAUGUGACCCAUUCCGUUAGCUUAGCACUUGAUCGUUUAGUAUGUUGCUAUUGCUUUCUUCAUGACUUAUACAUGUUCCUAUGACUAUGAGAUUAUGCAACUCCCGUUUACCGGAGGAACAAUUUGUGUGCUACCAAACAUCAUAACAUAACUGGGUGAUUAUAAAGGAGCUCUACAGGUGUCUCCGAAGGUACAUGUUGAGUUGGCAUAUUUCGAGAUUAGGAUUUGUCACUCCGAUUGUCGGAGAGGUAUCUCUGGGCCCUCUCGGUAAUGCACAUCACUAUAAGCCUUGCAAGCAAUGUGGCUAAUGAGUUAGUUGUGGGAUGAUGCAUUACGUAAUGAGUAAAGAGACUUACCGGUAACGAGAUUGAACUAGGUAUUGAGAUAUCGACGAUCUAAUCUCGGGCAAGUAACAUACCGAUGACAAAGGGAACAAUGUAUGUUGUUAUGCAGUUUGACCGAUAAAGAUCUUCGUAGAAUAUGUAGGAGUCAAUAUGAGCAUCUAGGUUCCGCUAUUGGUUAUUGACCAGAAACGUGUCUCGGUCAUGUCUACAUAAUUCUCGAACCCGUAGGGUCCGCACGCUUAAUGUUUCGAUGACAGUUAUAUUACGAGUUUAUGAGUUUUGAUGUACCGAAGGUUGUUCGGAGUCCCGGAUGUGAUCACGGACAUGACGAGGAGUCUCGAAAUGGUCCAGACAUGAAGAUUGAUAUAUUGGAAGCCUAUAUUUGGAUGUCGGAAGUGUUCCGGGUGAAAUCGGGAUUUUACCGGAGUACCGAGGGUUACCGGAACCCCCCCGAGGGCUUAAUGAGCCUUAGUGGAAAUAGAGGGCAGCAAGGGGAGUGUGGGGCGCGCCCCCCAAGGCCCAAACCGAAUUGGUUUAGGGCAAGGGGGCCGACCCCCUCUUUCCUUCUCGUCCUCUCCCUUUCCUUCCCCCUCUCCUACUCCUACUAGGAAAUAGGAGGAGUCCUACUCCUAGUGGGAGUAGGACUCCCCCUUGGCGCACCUCUCCCUAGUCGGGCGCCUCCUCCCCUUGCUCCUUUAUAUACGGGGGCAGGGGGGCACCCCAUAGACAUAACAAUUGAUCUCUUGAUCUCUUAGCCGUGUGCAGUGCCCCCCUCCACCAUAGUCCUCCUCGAUAAUAUUGUAGCGGUGCUUAGGCGAAGCGCUGCAACGGUAGAACAUCAAGAUCGUCACCACGCUGUUGUGUUGACGAAACUCUCCCUCGACACUCGGCUGGAUCGGAGUUCGAGGGACGUCAUCGAGCUAAACGUGUGCUAGAACUCGGAGGUGCCGUAGUUUCGGUGCUUGAUCAGUCGGGCCGUGAAGACGUACGACUACAUCAACCACGUUGUUCUAACGCUUCCGCUUUCGAUCUACGAGGGUACGUGGACAACACUCUACCCUCUCAUUGCUAUGCAUCACCAUGAUCUUGCGUGUGCGUAGGAUUUUUUUUGAAAUUAAUACGUUCCCCAACAGUGGCAUCCGAGCCUGGUUUUAUGCGUAGAUGUUAUAUGCACGAGUAGAACACAAGUGAGUUGUGGGCGAUACAAGUCAUACUGCUUACCAGCAUGUCAUACUUUGGUUCGGCGGUAUUGUUGGAUGAAGCGGACCAGACCAACAUUACGCGUAUGCUUACGCGAGACUGGUUCUACCGACAUGCUUUGCACACAUGUGGCUGGCGGGUGUCAGUUUCUCCAACUUUAGUUGAACCGAGUGUGGCUACGCCCGGUCCUUGCGGAGGUUAAAACAACACUAACUUGACAAACUAUCGUUGUGGUUUUGAUGCGUAGGUAAGAACGGUUCUUGCUCAGCCCAUAGAAGCCACGUAAAAUUUGCAACAACAAAGUAGAGGACGUCUAACUUGUUUUUGCAGGGCAUGUUGUGAUGUGAUAUGGUCAAGAUGUGAUGCUAUAUUUUAUUGUAUGAGAUGAUCGUGUUUUAUAACCGAGUUAUCGGCAACUGGCAGGAGCCAUAUGGUUGUCGCUUUAUUGUAUGAAAUGCAAGCGCCCUGUAAUUGCUUUACUUUAUCACUAAGCGGUAGCGAUAGUCGUAGAAGCAAUAGAUGGCGUAACGACAACGAUGCUAUGAUGGAGAUCAAGGUGUCGCGCCAGUGACAAUGAUGAUCACGACGGUGCUUCGGAGAUGGAAUCACAAGCACAAGAUGAUGAACAUGUGCUAGAACUCGGAGGUGCCGUAGUUUCGGUGCUUGAUCGGUCGGGCCGUGAAGACGUACGACUACAUCAACCACGUUGUUCUAACGCUUCCGCUUUCGGUCUACGAGGGUACGUGGACAACACUCUCCCCUCUCGUUGCUAUGCAUCCCCAUGAUCUUGCGUGUGCGUAGGAGUUUUUUUGAAAUUACUAUGUUCCCCAACAUAAUCCACUAAUAUAAAUUGAUAGAUUCAUCAAAACAAGCAAACUAUGCAUCAAAAACAGAAUCUAUCAAAAAUAGAACAGUCUGUAGCAAUCUGAACAUCCACCAUAUUUAUGUUACCCCAAAAAUUCUACCAAAAUUAGGAAAAAUAAACAAGUUGUAUAUCAAGACAGUGCAAAAAUAAUCCGAACCAAUUGACGUUCCAGUUAAAAACAUAAAAUCACGCACUACAGCCAAAGUUCUGUCCUGCACCAUACAAACCAACAAGCAUUAUAAACAUCCUAAAGGCAAACCUUAGCACAUUAUUUUUAUAAUACAACGGAAUUGUACAAGGGGAUAAUUAUUUUUGUUGAAAAGUUUCUGUAAUCAAGAUCCACAAAGUUUUCGUGAGCCUGAACAAAGUUCAAGCCUAGCUCCCACUUCAACAAUGCUUGUCUUUCUCACUUUCACUUUCCUUUUUGAAAUUUUUUGGGUUCCCCUCUUUAUUUUUUUGUUUUUAAACUAUACGAAAGCACUCAUCAGAAAUAAAUGACUCUUUAAAACUUCCGGGUUGUCUUCCUGGCAGCGAUUUCUUUAAAGCCAUUAAGCUAGGCAUAUAGUGCUCAAGUAAUGGAUCCACCCGGAUCCCAAGGUAUAUCAAAGCCAAUUUUAAUUAACAAUGAUUGUAAUUUAGUAGUGAGCACAAAGUAACAUAUAUCAUGCAAUAAUGAAGUCUAACUCUCUUCCUAUGCAUCGGCAUGUCAUAAAAGAACAAUUCAUGCACACAUAGUAAAGGCCAAUACAUAGUAUAAGUAGUUUCUUGCAAUUUUAUCAUAUUGGAAACAUAGAGAGGUGGAGAUAUAGUUCCUCUCUCAUAAUAAUUGCAAGUAGGAGCAGCAAGCACAUGCAUAUUACAUUCAUCAAAAUCAUCAUGUGCAAUGGUAAAAGGCAACCCAUCAAUAUAAUCCUUAAUAAGCACAAACUUCUCUGAUAUAGUGUAGUCGGGAGAAUUCAAAAAGAUAAUAGGACUAUCAUGCGUGGGUGCAAUAGCAACAAUUUCAUGUUUAACAUAAGGAACUAUAGCAAGUUCAUCUCCAUAAGCAUAAUUCAUAUUGGCAUCUUGGCCACAAGCAUAGCAAGUAUCUUCAAAAAGGGAUAUUUCAAGAGAACAACGGGAUCAUAGCAAUCAUCAUAGCAGUCAUCCUUCGGUAAGCACGAAGGGGAAUUAAACAAUGUAUGAGUUGAAGAGUUACUCUCAUUAGAAGGUGGGCACGGGUGAUCAAUCCGCUCUUCCUCCUUUCGUUCUUCGCCCUCCUCAUCAUCUUUUUCAUCCAAUGAGCUCACAGUUUCAUCAAUUUCUUCUUCCAUAGCUUCCUGCAAAAUAUUAGUCUCUUCUUGGACAGCGGAGACCUUCUCAAUAAAUGCAUCAAUAUUGUAAUUGUAUUCAUAAUUUUCAUAGCAAUAUUUCAAUAUAGCAAAAUUUUUAGGCCUAUAAACAUCAUCACCUAAAGCUUCAUACUUUUCAAACAAAGAUUCAAUUUCAUAAGCAGCCUUAAAAGCAACAAAUUCUUCAAUUCGUUCAACAUCAUAGUAAUCAUAUAUACCAUUAGCAUAAGAAGCUAAGGUUUCAUUAUCAUUAAAUUUGCAUGAAAAGGGAAGGUGUGGAGCCUUCAUCCUAGAGCAACAAUUAUAAUCAUAUCUCAAGCAUAGAUCCCGAGCAUACCAACGCAACAUAUUAAUUUGAUCCCAUAAUAGUUUCCCUUUUUGUGUCAAGCGAUAAUCCCUAAAGUAUUCACGUUGAUCCAACGUUACUCCCAUUACAUAAUUGAAUGGGGGUUUCUCAGGAUUAUCAAAGUAGUACAUAAUAUUUUGAACAUAGCGAGCAUCGAGGGUUUUAGGAGGUUCCCCAUCUCCAUGAGUAGCAACUACACCUAUUUUUUUUUGGUAUUUCGUGUUCCAUAUCCAUAACUAAAGAUAGAGAACCACUAAGAACAGCAAAUAAAAAUUACUUAGUGAUAAAGCAAACAAGCACACACGAGAAUAUUCACCCCACGCUAUGACUCCCCGGCAACGGCGCCAGAAAAAGGUCUUGAUAACCCGCAAGUAUACGGGAUAGUUGUAGCCUCUUUCGAUAAGUAAGACUGUAGAACCCAACGAGGAUCUAAAGGUAGAACAAAUACUCUCUCAAGUCCUAUCGGCCACUGAUACGACUCUACGCACGCUUGAUGUUCGCUUUACCUAGAAUAAGUAUGAAACUAGAAGUACUUUGUAGGUGUGAUAGGAUAGGUUUGCAAGAUAAUAAAGAACACGUAAAUAAAAAGUAGGGGCUGUUUAGAUAAAGAUGCAAUAAAGUAAAUAUAGCGAGUGUGGAAAAGUGGUGGUAGGAGUUGCGGAAUUGUCCCUAAGCAAUGGACUACUUUACUAGACCGAUAGCAAGUUUUAUGUGGGAGAGGCCACUACUAGCAUGUCAUCCCUGACUUGGAAUUCUAUGCACUUAUGAUUGGAACUAUUAGCAAGCAUCCGCAACUACUAACGUUCAUUAAGGUAAAACCAUUAAGAUAUAUUGGCCCCCCUUCAAUCCCGUAUGCAUCAAUUUCUAUGCUAGGUAGAAGCUUCUGUCACUCUUGCCCUCCAAUACAUAGUCCUAUCAACAUACAACUAACCCUAUGGUGUGAUCCACGCACGCGCUCAUAUGAUGGGCACCAAAGGACAGCAACAUAACCACAAGAAAAUUAAAUCAAUCAUAGCAAUUCAUCAACCACCAAUAGGACAACAAAAAUCUACUCAGACAUCAUAGGAUGGCAACACAUCAUUGGAUAAUAAUCUGUAGCAUAAAGCACCAUGUUCAAGUAGAGGGUACAGCGGGUUGCGGGAGAGUGGACCGCUGUAGAUAGAGGGGGGAAGGUGAUGGAGAUGUUGGUGAAGAUGGCAGAGGUGUUGGUGAAGAUCGCGGUGAUGAUGAUGGCCCCCGGCGGCGUUCCGGCGCUACCGGAAGCAAGAGGGAGAGAGCCCCCCUUCUUCUUCUUCUUCCUUGACCUUCUCCCUAGAUGGGAGAAGGGUUUCCCCUCUGGUACUUGGCUCCCUUGGCUUGGGAGGGGCGAGAGCCCCUCCGAGAUUGGAUCUAUCUCUCUAUUUCUGCAUCCCCAGAUUCUGCCCCUUCACCGUUUCUUUUAUAUCCGGAGAUUCGUAACUCCGAUUGGGGUGAAUCUUUCGCCCAGAUUUUUCUCAUAAAAUUAGCUUUCUUGUAGCAAAAGAAGAGCGUCAACCGCCGUACGGGUGGCCCACGAGGGUGCCAGGCGCGCCCAGGGGGGAGGGCGCGCCCCGCUGUCUUGUGGCCACCUCGGGCACCAUUCUUCCUCCGGAAAAUCCCAAAUAUUCAAAAUAAUUCUCCGUCCGUUUUUAUCCCGUUUGGAUUCUGUUUGAUAUUGGGUUUCUGUGAAACAUAAAACAUGCAAUAAACAGGAACUGGCACUGGGCACUGGAUCAAUAUGUUAGUCCCAAAAAUAGUAUAAAAAGUUGCCAAAAGUAUAUGAAAGUUGAAAAAUAUUGGCAUGGAACAAUCAAAAAUUAUAGAUACGAUGGAGACGUAUCAGGAAGUUCCUUAAAAGCCCAAGACAACCCCAAAGCUCCAGCUCAAGCUCCAAAGAGAAGCACCGGGAACAUACCUGCAACAGAGAAGAACAAGGCCCCAGUGCCUGAAGCUGCGGAAGAAACUGAAGCCCAAGUGCUUAGGAAGCUCAAACCCAAGAUUCUAGACCACAAUGAUAGUCACCCAGUUGCUGAAAAUAGGAAGGAAAGAAAGGAUGCUGGUCUCAGUAAAUGGAGACAAGUAGAUCCAUAUGCUGUGAGGAGGAGGACUGCAGUGGACUACAGGUUCCACACCAAAGAGCAACAUGAUUUUUAUGAGACGGUGUUGCUGGACAAGAAACCCACAGUUAGUGAUAUGUGAUGGGUGGACUGGAAAUACAUUGAUGCAAAUGCUGAUCAUUUCCCAGGAGUGCAUGAAAGCUUCAAAGCAAAUGGUGUUGAUGACUUUGUUGGUCAGAAGCUCACCAAGUGGAAUGAUGAGCUAAUAAUGCAAUUCUACUCAGCAACUCACUUCUAUCCAGAUGGAAGGAUUGUGUGGAUGACAGAAGGUCAGAGGCACCAAUCAAUAGUUGAUGAGUGAGCUAGGCUCAUACAUGCCCCUGAAGAAGAGAAAAUGCUAUAGAUGUGUAUGCUGAGAAGAAGAAAGAUCAUAACACCAUGGCUAAGAUGUAUAAGGAAAUUCCAGAUAAGGCCUUGGAGACACAUAAGUUUGGGUCAGUCUACUAUUUGUUGCCUGGUUUGUCCACCAUAAACACCAUCUUGAGGCAUACUCUAUUGCCCAAAUCUGGAGAUCACAGGAUGAUCAGAGGCCAUUCCAUCAACUUGCUACAAUUAUUUGGUGUUGUGGCAUAGAAGUUCAAGGCCAUGAGCUUGAUUGUUGAGACAAUCAAAAGGACAUCAGCUGACCAGAAGAGAUCUUGUGGAUAUGCUCCACACAUCCAAGAGCCAAUCAAUUCCAAGAUGAAGCAAGGAGUGUAUCUUUUGGACAAAGAACAUCUUCCUUUACUGCCUGACUUUGAGGACAACACAGUUGUCAUGGAUGCUGAAGAUCCAUCUUCAGUUGCAGCUCAUGAGAAGAAGGACAAAGCCAGAGUAGAAAAAGCAGCAAAGAUGCCAAGUGCAGCAGAUGCAUCAAAGGUAUUCCUCAAGUCAAAGCAAGACCAGCUUGGAUUUAUGAUUCAAGCAACCCUGAGGAUUGAGAAAGGACUAGCUACCCUGACUUAAAACCAGGAGAGCUUGGAGAGGAUCAUUGAGACAAAAUUCUAUGAUCUAGACUUGAAGGUGACUGAGAUACAGACAGUUGUUGAAGAAAUCUAGGAAGAAGCAUAUGAGAGGAAGGGCAAAGCUACUACACAAGUGUUCCACAGAGUGCCUAGGGCACAAAGGUCUGCAGCAGUGACAGUGACAGUCACUAGAGCUACAACUUCAGCACCUGCAGCCACAACUCCCAUAGCUCCUGUUGCCCCUCCAGUGGCAACCCCUCCAGCUGCAACAUCAUCUAUAGAUGCAUUCGUCCUUGGAGUCAUCUCAACACCUCCUUCCGAAGAUCAAGCCUAUAGAGACGCAUAACAUUAUGCAUUUUUGAGCUUUUUGGUAACUUGUUGCCAAGGGGGAGAAAGUGUAUAGAUCACAGGCUUCGGAGAGAGAGAUUUGUCUCUUUUUGCUUCUUAUUCGCUUUGUUUGCUUUGUUUGCUUGUGAGAUACAUUAUGUCUCUGUGUGUGAGAUACUUUGUAUGAUCAUGUGCUUGAACAUAUCACACUUUAUGCUUAUGCUUGAAUGAUGACAUUAUCUACCUCUUGCAUGAUCAUUCACUUUGCCUUGGUGAUGAGUGCUUGUUCUUACUUAUCAUCAUUUUGAGUGCUCCACCAAGAUGUAUGUAACAUGGAAGAGUAACCAAUUAUCCUAACAGAUUGUGCAUUUGCAGUCCAAAGCAAAUUUUAAACAAUGAACAAAUGUAGGGGGAGCUCUUGCUUAUCACAUACUUCUCAAAGCGACAAUGUACUUCAUUCUUAUUAUCUUGUCGAAGCUUUGAUCUAUAUGUUGUCAUCAAUUACCAAAAAGGGGGAGACUGAAAGUGCAAAUAAUUCCUGGGUGGUUUUGGUAAUUCUUAACAACAUAUAGUUCAUUGAACUAAUGCUAUUUCAAGAUGAUCAUUUCAGAAAGUUCAAUGAUUGGCAUGGCAUGGACUAGAGAUGUGGACCCCUCAAAAUGCAAAGGACAUAUAUUGGCAACAAGCUUAAGACUCUACAUUUUCAUUUUAGUGAUCCAAGAUCACAUUGAGUCCAUAGGAAAGCCAAUACUAUUAAAAGGGGAUGAGGUGUUUCUUAAUGGCUUACUUGCUCAAAAUGCUUAGUGAUAUGCUCCAAAACCCUCAACCACUUUCUCAUUUCCACAUAUGUCCUAACCUAAAGUCAAAUUCGGCCCCACCGAUUUGAUCUAUCUGGCGCCACCAAGUUUCAUUUGACAUAGCCACUGCCACAAAUCCUAGUUACUUCUGUCUCACCAAUAGGGAUCUCGGUCUCACUGAGAUGGGAUUGCAAACUCUUUGUUUCCUUUUUAUAACAUUUCGGUCUCACUGAAACGAGCAAAUCGGUCCCACCGAGUCUACAUUGCAAACUCCCUGUUUCCUUUUCGUAACACUUCGGUCUCAAUGAAGUGAGCGAAUCAGUCCCACCGAGUUUGCCUGACCAACCCUUUGUGUACCUAUUGCUGAAAUUGGUCCAACCUAGUUUAUGCGAUCGGUCACACCGAGAUUAUGUUAUGCCCUAACCUUAGGAUAUCGGUCUCACCGAGAUGACUAUAUCGGUCCCACCAAAAAUCCUAACGUUCAUAUUUUGACCUAAACCGGUCUGACCGAGGUUGUUGAUUUUGUCCCACCGAGUUUGGGAAUUUGUGUGUAACAAUUAGAUUUUGUGUGGAGGCUAUAUAUAGCCCUCCACCCACUCUUCAUUUGUGGGGAGAGCUAUCAGAACAAACCUACACUUCCACUACUCAUUUUCUGAGAGAGAACCACCUACUCAUGUGUUGAGACCAAGAUACUCCAAUCCUACCAUAUGAAUCUUGAUCUCUAGCCUUCCCCAAGUUGCUUUCCAGUCAAAUCAUCUUUCCACCAUAGCCAAAUCUGUGAGAGAGAGAGAGUUGAGUGUUGGGGAGACUAUCAUUUGAAGCACAAGAGCAAGGAGUUCAUCAACAACACACCAUCUAUUACCUUUUGGAGAGUGGUGUCUACUAGAUUGGUUAGGUGUCACUUGGAAGCCUCCGUCAAGAUUGUGGAGUUGAACCAAGGAGUUUGUAAGGGCACGAAGAUCGCCUACUUCAUGAAGAUCUACCCUAGUGAGGCAAGUCCUUCGUGGGCGAUGGCCAUGAUGGGAUAGACAAGGUUGCUUAUUCGUGGACCCUUCGUGGGUGGAGCCCUCCGUGGACUCGCACAGCCGUUACCCUCCGUGGGUUGAAGUCUCCAUCAACGUGGAUGUACGAUAGCACCAUCUAUCGGAACCACGCCAAAAAUCUCCGUGUCAACAUUGCGUUUGCUCCCUCCAAACCCCCCCCAUUUACUUUCUUGCAAGUUGCAUGCUUUACUUUCCGCUGCUCAUAUACUCUUUGCAUGCUUGCUUGAAUUAUAUUGAGAUUGCUUGACUUGUGUUGAGUUGCUAAAAUCUGCCAAGAACUAAAAUUGGGAGAAGGUUAAGUUUUUAUUUGGUGUGGAAACUACAAUUGUGAUUCCUAAACUGCUCCCUGCUAGGUGAAAUGAUAGCCUACCCCUAUAGUUUACAUCUAAUUCUUGAUAGCCUAUAUCUAAAUCAAGAAAGGGUGGGAAAGGUCAUUGUUAUCUGGCAUUGAUGGGCUGCCAAUUUACAUGUACAAUUUACUGUUUAUCUUUGAUAAUUUCUAAUAACAUAAGUUGGUCUGGCUAUGAUGGGAGCAGUACUAGAUAUAGUAAGAAUGCAAAAAAGAAAGUGAUGUGUAUUCGCUAAAGUAGAAAGAGCACAGUCGUCACAACCACUAAUUCAACAGAGCUGAACCUUGAAAGACUCAUUUCUUCCUGAAAUCAUAAUGAGAGGCAAAAGUUAUCCUAAUUGUAAAGGUAGUAGAAUUUUGAAAUAGUAGAAUUUCCGAAUCAUCAUGCAUCAAUGAAGAAGGGAAAUAGUAAACAAUCUAGAGGAAUUUAUGUUCCUCUACAUAUAUGCUUUGUAAAAAUCUGAUAGUGACUUUUGACAUGUUUAUGACCGCUAACCCAAACUCGUGUUCAUGUUUUCUUAAUUGUUUCAAGUAGGCAUGACCUAGAGGCAGCGCUUAUUUCAGAAGUCGAUUGGGAUAACUUGCAGAUUGUGGAGAUACAUGAUGACGAAGGUAGAAUUGAACUACUGAGUGAGGAUCAGUUCUGUGAGAUUUUGGGCUUGCAGGAUGAAGAAGAGAAAAAAGAUAAGAGUGAACCAAAGGGUCGUAGAAUGGUUGAGCAGGGCAGUGAUAAUGAUGGUGUUGCCAUUCCUGUUAGUGAUGCCAUACCAAAUGAGCUAGUGAUUACAUAUGAUAAGGACCACCUAAAAAUGGACCUUGGAAAAAUGUACCCAUCAAUAAAGGAAUUUAGGUUAGAAGUGAGGGAAUUUGCCAUCAAUGAGGAGUUUGAUAUAGGCACGGAGAAGUCGGAUAAAAAGAGAUUUAGAGGGUUCUGAAAGUCAAGUGAGGUUUUUGCUUGGAGGAUUGUUGGCAGCCUGCAGGAUGAUAAAUGUAUUGUAAAGGUGAAAGAUGGCUAACUAUAUAACCUCCAUUCAUUUUUUUAUCUCUGUGUAUGUCUAUUUACAAUAUAACUUUCCUUCAUUUUUAAAUUCUAUAUGUGCAGGUCACAAUUUUAGUUGAUCAAUAUGAUAGUGUUUCAAGCAGCAGGGUGAAGAUCAUAAAGCCAUCGAAAGACUGGGUAGCUAACAAGGCUGUGAGUAUCCUUAGGAAUUCACCUAGGUGCUAAAUAAUUACAGAAAAAGUUGCAAGAACAACACAAAGUCGCGAUUCUAUAUGACACGGUCUGGAGGGGGAAAGAAAAAGCUGUUGCAGAGGUUUAUGGUAAAUGGGAAGAGAGUUUUGAGAUGUUAUAUAAAUGGAAGGCUGAGGUACUGAAGAGGUCAUCUGGAAGUGUUGUGGAGAUUGAAGUACUGGAAAUAGAUGGUAAUGUGUAUUUUCAUCGGGUUUUUUGUGCACUUAAACCAUGUAUUGAUGGCUUUUUGGAAGGAUGUAGACCACAUCUAAGUAUAGAUUCUAUUGCAUUGAAUGGAAGGUGGAAUGGCCAUUUAGCCUCAGCUACGGCAUUUGAUGGUCACAAUUGGAUGUAUCCACUUGCUUUUGGGUUCAUUGCAUCUGAGACAGAAGACAAUUGGACGUGGUUUAUGAAUCAACUUAAAAUGGCAAUAGGCGAUCCUCCACUUCUUGCAGUGUGCACAGAUGCUUGCAAAGGCUUGGAGAAUGCGGUGAAGAAUGUGUUUACCAAUGCUGAACAAAGGGAAUGUUAUUACCAUCUUAUGAAGAAUUUUUCAAAAUGGUUCCAUGGCUUUGGAAGGAUGUACCCUGCAGGAAGGGCUUAUAGGGAAGAUGUGUUCACUGAACAUAUGACAACAAUCAUUAAACAAUCAGAUGAGGUAUGGAAAUGGUUGAGUGAGUACCACACUCUAAAGUGGAUGAGGUGUGUCUUCAAUCCAGAUAUCAAGUGUGACUAUAUCACUAAUAAUGUGGUAGAGGUUUUUAACAACUGGAUCCGAGACAUUAAGGAUUUACCUGUUGCUGAACUAGCUGAUAAGAUUAGAGAGAUGAUCAUGCUUUCGUGGAGGAAGAGAACAAGGAUUGGAGAAAGGCUACCACCUGGACGGAUACUACCGGCAAUUAUGGUUCAACUGAGAGCAAAUACUAGAGGUUUGGGGCACUUGAAAGUAGUGGAGUCUACUAAUUGGAGUGCAGAGGUGUGGGAAAAUAGCAAGAACUGUGAAAGGCAUGUCGUGAAGCUAAAUCAGUAGACCUGUACUUGUCUUGAAUGGAAGCACACUGGUAAGACAUGUCAACAUGUCUUCGCCUUUGUGACAUCACAAAAGAGAGUAAAUCGUGAACAAUUUGUGCAUGAGUGCUACUCUGUGGACAGAUUCAAGGCUGCUUAUGGGAGAGAGAUUGAUCCAAUGACAAAUAAAUCACAAUGGUCACGUGUGGAGCUACCAUUUUUUGUGGGGGCUCCACUUGCAAAAAGGAAAUAAAGGAAGACAAAUGAAAUUGAGGAUCAAAGGAUGUCUUGAAGGUGGCCACAAGAAAAAAAAGGUGCCAAUGAUGCUCCCAAGGAUGAUAGCACCGCUCCCACCAAUUCUAAUGGGAAAAAAAUGAUUGGAGGGCCAAUGACUUGCAAGAUGUGGCGAAAAGGGUCAUAGGAAAGCUAGUUACAAGUGUCCACUCAAUGGAACCAAAAAAGGCAAGUGUUUUUCUUUUAGUCAAAGCUUAAAUUAUCACAUCAUGCCAAAAAUAAAUUGUUUUGUUGAAUUGCAGGAAGAGAAAGCCUAGAAAGAAUAGUACAAAUGCUAGGCCAGCUGAACCUAGCACCCAGAAAGACCUACUAGAGAACAAAUAUUGCAGGAAAGUCCAAGCAUGGUCACUAGAAGGUAAGCUGAAAUGACAAAUAUCUUUGUGUUCAGCAUUGUCCAAAUGGGGAACAAAAAUACUUUAUCUAAAUGUGAUAAUAUAUAUGUGUGCAGCCGCCUUGCUAUCUUGUUGGGAGAGGGUAGUUCUUCACAAACCACUAAAACUACCCCAGAGGGGAUGCAACAGCAGCUCCACCAUAGAAGAUGACCCCAAGGAGGAUGCCAACAUCAGCUCCACCAAAGAAGAUGACUCCAAAGAGGAAGCUAUCUGUUGGAUGAAUGAUCUGUUUGAGAUUGCAUUAUGUCAGAUGUGAACCAGUACUUUCAAUAUGCUUGUUAUGUAGAAGUGAACUUACUAGUAGUUUUAUUCAGUGUGUUGCUUAUGUGAGAUAUGAACUCACAAUUUCAAUGAGCUUGGAACUCAAAAUUAAAGUGAGUCAUGAGAUGCAACAGAUUAUGCCCAGUUUAUGUCUCAUUAUUAUUCUUCUCAUGUCGAUGUACUGUGUGGAUAUAUAGCAGAUUAUACUUAGUUUUUGUCAUUUAUAGUAUGGUUGUUCCAACAUUUUGUUCUGGUCAAUACACUCAUAUUGUAGAAAUUUGUAGUCUACUGCGUGGAUAUAAAUAUCCAACAUUUAGUCAGCACAGUUUUUCUCAUGUUCAGAUUAAGAUGUAAAAAAUACUUCCACUGCUCAUCCUUCUCAUGAUCUUCACUUUCCAUUCAGGGAAAACAAAUGUAUCUUUGCCUAUGUUAUUUGAGCACAAGAUAGUACAGUGGUGUGUGACAGCAGUCCAAAAAGGUUCAACAAUAUAAUCUGGAAUGCUCUACAGACACAGCUAGAGAACAUCCUUCAAACAAAACGAGAGCAUAUCAGGUACAUUCAUAUAACCAGUAGUGCAUUUGGGAAAAUCUUGCAUUCUGACUGAAAUUCAUGACAUUUGAGAACAUCUUGCAUUCUGACAAAAAUUCAGAUAGGAAAAGGGAUACUGAAGCAACCCAGGGAACUGAAAAAUAGUACUAUAUCAUACAUCUGGUGAUAUAUCAUCAUGGUUUUAAAUGCCAUAAAACAAUCUUGCAUGAAUCCUAACACAACAAUCUAAAACAAUUCUAUUUCUCUGCAGUCAGAACAAAUGUACCCACUCAAACUCUCCAAAACAAUCUAGGCAAACUUCUCUGCAAAACACUACCAAUUUCUCCUACUUUCUCAAACACAUGUGCACAAGCGUCCAGAGGAACUCCCGCCGGCCGACAAAAAAUCCUCCAUGGCCACGCGCCCAUAUCCCUCCACCUCCUCAUCCUCCUGGGAUGCGCCCUCCCGCCUCCUCGUCCCAGCCGAGCGGUGAGACCAGGACGAGAGGCUCGAGCGCCGAGCAGGAGGCCGAACUGAGCAGCUGUGGCGCGCGGGCACAAGGGCAAGCGGUGAUAGCGAUCGGGCCGAGCGAGCGACGACGGCGACCGGGCAAGCAACGUCAACAAGGUGUUUGUGUGGCUUGUUCUUUCCUCUG